ensembl:lncRNA
AUAUAUAUAUAUAUAUAUAUAUAUAUAUAUACCAACAUCAAGUAAUAUGUUACUUUUUAAUUGGGUGGAAGCAUUUUUCCUUCAAAGUUGAAACAACAACAUAUGAUGUGAUGGGACUUGAUACAUUUCCUUUAAUUAAUUAAUGACGUAAUGACCCUUAUGUCAGGAUUUUCAUGUUCAUGUAAACACACAAUGCAACUCACUGGCAUGUGAUGCAUUGUCUAUAGCAACCACCAUGACAACGACAGAAUCCUUGUAAUAAUAAUAUUAUUAUCAAAACAAUAGUGAGAAUGACAUGCAAAUGUCUCGCUAGUAAGGUCAUCAACACCUUUUAAUGACAAAACAACUAUAAAAUAUUGCAAGCCGAAGCAGUUUAUCGUGCUUGAUAUCAGCUUUCUUAUCAUUUAUGUAUGAGUGAGUGUGAUUCCCACACAGGCCAUACUUUUAAUAUCAGGCUAUCUAUCAUGAUCAUAUCCCUAUGGUCAGCUCAUUAACAUUUUAUGUUGAAACCAUACCUUUCUUACGUUUCUUUGAUUUAGUAAUUUGGAGAGGUUAGAUCAUUGAUGGUCCUGAACAGAACUGUGACACAAGUGUAUCUGCUCCUAACCUUCAUCAGCAUUACAGUUAACCUUUCUCUUCCCACGUAAUGGGCCACCGGUGUCCCACAGGGCUCCCCGCCCAUGUAGCUGCUGUGUUUUAAGGUGACGGAGAAGUGCGCAGACUGCAGGCCAAGUUUGUAGCGGCUCGUCUAUAACGAUAAAAACAGCAGAGCAAAGAUGCUUAAAGGUCAUAAAUCUGUCUUGAGUAAAAGCCGCGCAGGGAGAGAGGAAAAGAUAGGGGAGAGGGGGAGACAAAUAUUUUCAUUUGUGUAAUAUAAUAAAAAAUAACAGAUCUUUUAUGGUAAUACUGUUCAAAUUAUGCAUCUGAAACCACAUUCAGACCAGAUCUUGUUAAAUGUCAUUAUCCUGAAGUGUUACUGAAUAAGAUUAAUUGAGGGAUAAGGCAAAGCUAAUUGUGAGAGUUCUACUGCACAUAGCUGUAUUAACGCUCAAAGGGAAGAGCAUUUAUUAAUCUCAAAUUGUCAGAGGCUGAAAAAUAACUCAGUUUUUAACAUCAGCAUUCUUAAUUAAAGCCUGGGGCUUUGGCACUAUUUCCAAAUCUCAUGCAAAUGCCCUUUGUAUGAUCUUCCCAACUUCCCAUUCUUUCUCUUUUCCUCCUUUUUCACCCCUAGACACACACACACACACACACACAAACACACACAUCACAUCACUCUUUUGACACACAUUGGAUUACUAAUGAUACAUUUUCUUAUCGUUUUCUAAAAAUACUAUUUAAUGAGAAACGUUAACUUGAUCCAGUUUGCAUUAUGCUUAACCUCGCCUCGCAGAAACACAUGCAGGGUAUCAAAUUAUGAAUGAUAGAUGAGCAUUUUGUGUCAUCAAUUAAUGUAAUCAGUUGGAUAUUUUGAGGCAUGAAAAAGACACCCACACAUAUUAAACUUCCCCCCUGUGCUUUAUUAUUUGCUGAACUCUGACUUUUUAGUCAGGUUGCCGAGGGUCAAUUCUAAAUGUCAGAGGUCACAUGGUCGACAUUUAAAUAUGGCCCCUGCCUGUGCUGCCCAAGUAGAGUGCAUGAGUUCUCCCAGCUCAAGUGCUGUAACACUCACUAUGUCACCAUGCUUUGUGCAUGAACAUAAACCAUAAAUAGGUCAAAUAUGAGGUAUUUUUUGUGUGACAUCAGAACAAACAUUUAAGUAAUGUCUAGACAAUCCACUCAUCGCAUUGAUGGAAUAAGGUCUCAAAAAGUGUGAAAUGCAAGUCUCUCUAUAGAACAACACACGUAGGGUUUGUGCAAAAUGCAAAAUGCCAUUAUUUCACAUCCCAAAACAAUAAUUAGCCUAGAUGGCAUUAAUAUGUUCGCUCUGGCUGGCGACUCCAUGGGCCAAAGCCCUGAUGUAGUUGAAGUAGUUGUAAAAGCUGAAUAAACUUUUUUUUCAUUUCUGUAUGUUAUGCAAAAGAGAUGAAGGACACAUGGACUCCUGCAAUAUUUAAGCCAUUUAAAUGUAUCACUGGCCUUUUCGCAUGAAGUGCGUCACGUUUAUGGGUUCACUUCUUGUUUUAUUUUGUAGUUUCAUGCCUCUGGUGUCCCUGGGUUACUUCACUUCCUGCCUUGUCCUGUCAUCCCCUGUGAUUGUCUGCCGUAUCUAUGAUUGUUUGCACCUGCGUCCAAUCACCUGCACCGUCUCAGUGUAUUUAAGCCCCGUGUGUCUCUUGUCCCUUGUCGCGUCAUUGAAUGUUCAAACCUCGGCGUCGUGUAAGUUCCUGGUCCCUGUCUGCGUUUUUCCGUGUCCUUGUUUUUCCCCCCUGGUGUUUUGGAUUUUUGGAUUAUUAAAUGUAUCGUUUUUGUCAAUAUAGCUGAUGAAGCCAAUGCCACGACUACAGUAUUAACAUCCUUCUGAAAACAGUAACGGUACAAAAUUCCCAAAUAAUGCUUAGGAGGAACCAUGGGAGCUGUAAUUACAUACUACGCAUUGUACCGAAUGAGGAACACCGUACUCACUGCAUGGAAUAACUGCUAAAAGUCUCAACAGGUCCUGUCAUUUAGCUGUAGGGAUUUCGUUUCUGCAUUUCACAUCUGUACGCUCCUGCAAGAACCCACGCAGGUUAUUGACACAGAGCAAUUAUAUGAUCACACUGCAUUAUUUAAUUCUACUAGGAAAAGUAAUGGACUUCAGAAAAUGAACAUUUAAUCAAGAAAUUAAAUGUUUAUUUCUGAAAUGCUUUAACUUUGUUGUUUGUAUAUGUGCUUAUGAGAUAAUAACUGAGCGAGAGAGAGAGAGAUGAGCAGAUGUUAUCUGACAGGUGCAGUAGGCUCCGCUUGCUGUUUGGGCAGCAGAUAUGACAGCGGUUUUGCAUACACUCUGAGAGCUAACGCUGUGCUCUUUCAGUACCUGUCGUGCCUCCACCUUAUGGUCGGAUACUGAAGUCUGGUACGGGGUGUGGGAGGAUCAGGCAUGUCAACGUUUCACAUUGUUGAUGUAACGUGAUCACAUCGACACGAGCGCAGAGAAACCUGAAACAACUCGGACUGCCGUGGUUUGGAGUGUGAAAACAAGUCACUGACAGGAUGCGUCGUGUUUUCCAAGUUACCAUUUCCAAAUGCAUUUUGCUGUUCCUGAGGGGGGCUUUAUUGCACUUGUAAAGCUUUCAGCUUUUCAUGCGAGUGCAUGACUCAUGUGAAUAAAAUCAUGCAGAGUCGAAAUGUUUGGAUGCGUCAACGUGAACCACAAGACUCUUUCCGGCUUGAGGCGCUAUUCUGUACUCUUUACGCCUGCUAACAGAGCGGCCAUCUCUGUGUUGAUUUGGUGUAAUUACUGCAAAUGGAACAAUGCCUUGCGGAGGCCCAGGUUUAUGUUAUGUUAUGUUUAUUAACGCCCCCCCCCCCCCCCCCGGUUGUGAGUGUCGUUGUCCCUCUCCUGCCUUGUUAUAAAUAUGGCCGACAGGCUGGCCCCUUGGCAGGAGGGGUGGACCGGCGGCACCAGGGUCACGGACAAAGGCAACCCAAGGCACCAAAUGCCGAAAACUAAAUGAGGCAACCCUGCUGGAAUGUAGCUGUUGAGUGAAGUGCAUUUGCACGCUUGUGUGUGUAUUUGAUGCUGUGCACUUGAAAACUGAGUGUGUUUAAGCUUUUGAGUGAGUGGGUGAGAAUGUUUCGGGGGUGGUUGUGGGUUUGGCGGGUAGGUGGAUGAUGACAGAGCAAAGGUGAGCAGGGUGAUAUGUUUUAAGCAGACAGUUGGGUACCUCUUGGUAGACUAAGCCACUAAUUCCUGAUAAAGGUCCAUUUGAACUGUGAUACAAUGAGACUACAAUCCAAUGCAUGGACAUAAAAAGAUAACUGCCGGGAUAUUUUGAGGUGAAAUCUCCAAAGACUAUGCCCCAACUUGCAACUUGACAUACGUGCGCAUUUCCGUCCUAUUAACCCUCGUUAACGUACAUAUCACGUUUUUUUUCACUAUAGUUGAAUAAAUGUAAAAACAGUAGACAUUAAAUGAAACCAGUGGACCAUUGGGAAACAUUUUCUAAAAGCAAUUAUGCAGUUUAUUUCUGUGGAGAAAAUAGAAGUUGCUUUACAUUUGGAAUUUAGUUUUCAGAGGAACAACUGCUUGAUUAAACACCAUUUAUUGCGUAUUUAUUAGUGGGAACUUUUUCUCUGGAAUUUAUCUUAAACAAACGUUCCCUUUUUACACAAUAUACAUUUAGCUAACCCACUGUGAGCUCACUAAAAUAAGCUCUUUGUCACAGAAAGACGGACCAGUAAAUUCAUCAAUGCUGAGCGUGUGAGAUGUCUGUGAGGCCGACAUAAUGUACUCAUGUCUUUGUUAAAUCAUUCUAUCACUCUGUAACUUUCAUCGAAGCACACUGUAAUCAUAUGUGACACUAUCAGUACAAAUCCUGGGAAUAAAGUCCAGCCCUCAUUUAUCAUCCGUGACUAUUGCAUGAAAUCAAACAGUAAGCAGACCAAUGAGCACUCGCCUGUGUUUCUUCCCCCUCAGUUGGCCACUGCGUAGCACUGGAGUGGAAUUGAGUCGCUGUGACCGUCCGUCUGUUGCUGAGUGCCGUGUCACGUGGGUUCUGUGAGGCUAAACGUCACGGCCUGGUUUUGGUUAACUUGACCAGGACCCGAGCUGAGGGCAUGUCAUCCUUUCACAGCCAGCGUUUCAGUGACCAUUCAAUUAAUUUAGCCGUAAUAAUGAUAAUCAUAGCAAUAAUAAUUAAAGCCACGAAAUGUAUCUAAGGUAUGAUUUGUAGGACUACUGAAUUGACAUUGAGUUCAACCCCUUUAUUUAUAUAAUGUAAACAGAAACACACCUCAGGCAGUUCGUGCUACCGACCCUGCUUUAUAUUGCUGAAGUUUAUGCUUGACGUCAACAGGCUCUCGAUGAUAUCAUUGGGCUUUGGUCCCUGAGGGUAGAUGACUUAUACUCAUUUCAGCCUCUAAAUAAUGCUCCCUGAAUCAUAAUAGUCAUUGAUUUUCCCUUAUUUCACCCCCCGCACAGCAGAGCUCAUUUACGGCAUUAUUCAUCUCAGAUGUGACAAAGGAUAAGAAAUAUAAAUAUUGUGUCACUUUAUUUUAACAAGUACUAAUUUUGUGUUAUCUUUGACUGAGAAUCAUUAAGCCAUUUAUAAAGCUUUGGGAGCAGGGAGAUUUCUUUCUCAUGUACCAUUAAUAUGUUGUAUGUCUAAACGUUUAUUCAGUGGAUCAUAAAUAUGUGUAAUAACCAUGAAUAAUACCCCGAUGUCGAUGGUACAGUGACCGUACACCUUAUUUAUCCCAAAACACUAUUGAAGCAGUUUAAUUUUAGGCCUUUUAUGAUCCCACCGUCUCGACCGUAUUGAUCAGACUUACAUCACUGGACUGGUUUUGUUAAGUAAACGACUUGUGUCAUGUUCAAUUUGUCAAAUCAAUAAACACAAAUUUGGUGGGUACAAGAAAACGGUAAAAGCCCAAACGGGGGAAAAUGUCGUGUUUUUGCAGGUGACCUAACGUAGUGGUUUCUUUACGAUGGUCUUCAUGAGAGCAGACGUGGUGACCAAGUUCUAGCGAAUAAAAGUAUUGUGUCAAAGCCUGACUCGGGAAGAUUGAAAAACACAGCCUGGAUCUCACCACAGCGCCGUGGCACACAUCACACACACCAGCAUUUACAGAUAAAUGGACUACUGUGAAUUUUUUAUUGAGCGACAUUAAAAAAAAAGUCCCAAUCGCAGUUCAUCUUGUGAGCCAGAGCGCGCGUGGAAACUCUGGAUGAAGUGUUUAAACACAUGUUGUAGGCAGAGCCAGGCAGACCUGACUGUGUGGGGUAUAAUCACAAACAGUCAAGGCUUAAACGAACCCUGAUCCUGGAAGGGUUAUAGACAAAACCAGUUCAUGUGCACCAUUACUAAAUCCCCACAAAGGAGACAGGCAGUUAAUUGUCACAUGAAGAGCUUUUUUCUUGCUUUAUUUGCGGCCAAACAGGUUUUAAGCAUUUUAAUGUCUUUCCCCACAUAAUGGUGUUUUCAGUUCAUUUAUUUCCAUCUUAGCCACUUAGAGCAAUGUAACCCUUUAGUCCUCCAAUAGUGCCCAUUAAGUAUGCAGCAUUUCCAAUGAAACGCGUGGAGAGAGUCUCCUGAAAGUGAUUGAUGGCCCAACUAAACAGAGUAGACCAGGAGCGUCCAACAACUAAAAAGGGUUUCAGUGAAAGUCGUCAGUAUAGUGAAAUGCAAAUUAUUCAUUCUUAAACCGUAUUCACUAAAGGAGCUUGUUAAUCAGAUGGUGUGCAGAGAAAUGAAUUGUUCAUUCAUCCAUUUUCUUCACCCACUCAUUUAGGCCCACAGGUGGCAUGGAGCUCAUCCGGCAUUCAGUGGGCUACGGGCGGGGGGGACGUCGGUCCACCACCCGGCAGAAACCCCCCGUGAAGACUGGGAGGACACACAAACUGCACGCUGGAUGUGGACAUGGAGGCAACAGUUUUUCCAACCACUCCCAAAUCCAUCCCAAACCCGUGGAACUCACUUGAAAUAUGUUGUGUAGAAGGACGCAUGCAUGCGUAAUGCCAAUAAUAACCAAGUAUUUCUCCACUGUACCGCACUAAUUCUGCUCAAUUGUAUAUAACAACGUGGAAAAUAAGCCUGAAAUAUCAGAUUUGAGACACAAAUCAGAUUUCCUUCACUGCAGCUCAUUACAUGGCAAUGUGAAAGCCGGGUUUCCAGCAUGUUGCUUUGAUGAGCCUUUUGAUUGAAUGGAAAUAAUUCCCCCCUCUGAUUUAAUUUGCAACGGAGCAUGCCUGCUCAACUGCAGAACUAUUUCAGUUCAGGAGGGUGUGACUUCAUGUCUAUGUGUGUAUGUGUGCACAGUAACUCAAGCAUCGGUCAUAAUCUGGCUUGUCCGAGUUCAGUUUUUAAUAAACGUCAGAUUAUUCCAAUUCCCAUUAGUUGAUCCGUUAAAAUAAUAUUCCUAAAAUGAAUUAUAACAUCAGAGGUUGUAUUCAAGGUAAUUCAUCCACGAGGCCAUUCCCAUCGAUGCAAUAGAAUUACAGAACCAUCAUUCCAAAGGAAGCUGUUAGAGGUCCAUUUAAACCCUGUCACUAAGAAAGAAAGGAAAACACCCCCAAACCAUCCUCUCUGCGAGCAUUUAUUUACAGUGAGCGAACAGGCAAAUAGAUUAACAAACACACACACACACUUUUAGCCGUAUAAACACACCCGGAAAUAUACACACAUACACCCGCACACAUGUGUUUCCUGCAGCAAAGAGCUACCGACACGUCAUCAUCUUAGAUUAGCAGGGUGGCCAAACUGGAAACUCUUCCUGUAGUACGUCUGCUUUAAAACCAGUCUGUGUGUGUGUGUGUGUGUGUGUGUGUGUGUGUGUGUGUGUGUGCGCGUGGGUCAGACUGUGUGUGUGCGUGUGUGAGAUGUACUGGAGCGAGCCCCGAUCUUCUAUGUCAUUCGGAAGGAAAGCGAUGUGUCUAUAUGUGGAUAAUAAGCUCCUUCGGGGGAGAACUCUCAUCCAGUGUAGACCACAAACCAGUCUUUUACUUCAGAUGAUACACUUCAUCAGGGGGACUUUUUUUUUCCCCCUCCCCUUCUCCUGAUCUCAAUUAUGUUUCUCUCGUAUUGUUUUGUGACUCUAUACUUGGUGUCUCUGUUGCCAUGGCAGUAAUGUGGGUCCUAUUAGAACACACGUGUACGACAUAAACUACUUUGUGCAUCAUCGUGAAAAGCUUUCAGAGCCUGUGCAGCUUCACUCCGAGCAUCACGCGGCCUUCCCACUGACUAAAAACCAGAUACAGCCUCAUUCUGCUUAAAAACAUCUUUGAUUUCCCUCUAGUUCCACCUCCCUUCAACCACUUACACUGCUUUCGGGCUGCUAAUAGUGGUCUGUAGAUGUCUUUUUUUUUUGUUGCAUGAGGGUUACCACUGCUCGUCCUCUCUCUUGUGGCCAUGUCAUGGUUGUAUCUUCUUUAAUUGUAUUUAUGUUUCCCGUCAUUCUCUUGUGGCUCUGAUAUGCACAGUGCCAGCAAUUCAUCUCAAGGACAUAGAGCAAUGCUCCCAGUAUUACCAGGCUCCUCACCGGGUGUCUGCUUUAAACAGAAAUCCAAUAAAUUCCGUGAAAAUAGUGUAAAAAAAAAACUGGAACAGGAAGCUUUUUCGUUUUUUGGAUGGAUCAAAUUGCAGGUUUUCUACAGAAAUAGGCUACAGAAUCCCCAGUACUCCGAACUGAGAUUUCUGUUUUUUUAUGGGACCUAGUGGUGCGCUCGGGGCCAUGCAGUCACACAUCAGCAUUGCCAGCGUCAUACUGGCUUUUUAUAGGGUCUGAAAGACCGUGAUGGGAUUCUGCAAUCACAUCACUGUGCUGAAUACAUCCACAAAAAUGAGAGCAUUACCACACGGGGGGAGAGUUUCUUCAUGCUUCUUUUUCCUUUACAAUAGAUAUCCUCAUUUGUGAGGUACGGCUUCUUGAAUCUGCUUGAAUCUGAAUCUUUUUUUUCUGGGUAUGCUGUGUGCACAGCUGACCAAUGGUAGUAUAUUAUCUGUACGGUCUGUGUAAGAUAAGGUGGUUAUCGUAGUUUGUCUGCUGACUGACGUAUAAUCCCUGUCUUUUGGUCAGAAAAUCAUUAAUAUUGAUGUAGGGCAAUAGAUAACACGCACACACACACACACACACACACACACACUUCAAUCAUAGCAAAUUGCUGUUUCACAUCCUGAUUUCUGAUGCUCCAAAUGAAUCAAAUGACAAAGAGGUUUCCAUUACUGCAGUUUCCCACAGUUGAUGACAGACCUCCCCCCAUUUCCUUAUCAGACUUUCAUUGACAGAGCUUCUCCAAAUCUUUGAAUUGAUCAUGCACAUACACAUUUCUUCAUUUGCUCGAAGGUGUUAUACAUUUGUCAGCGGUACAAAGGCUGCCGGCCUCAGUGUUAACUGAUGGUUUGCUGCAGUGGUUUGUAUGAUCACUUUUUCUUUAUUCCUCCCCAGCUAGAUAUCUGUAGCAGAUAAAGAAAUAAAUGAAUUCCAUUCAUCACCCAUCCGUGAGGUUCUGUGGGAAAUAGAUCAACAGCAGUAAUUUCUGAGGGUUGAGCUACACUUUUCUCACUUGGUUUGCAUUUAAAAAUAAAAAAGUACUUUACUGCUUGUAUGACUAAUAUGAUCAAACAUCGGUGGUAAACUGUAUUAACGGACACUCGGCAUCAUAUUUUGCUUGAGAAUUGCCACACCCUGUAUGCUAAACGACACGUCCCCAAAAAAACAUUGUGUGAAAGUAUGACAGCAAAACAGCCCACCUGUCACAUAUUAUAGCGUUGCCUUGACUUGGUAUUAUUUUUUCAUCAUCCGCUCACUAGCUUUUAUUUCAUCCACCAACCUUAACACUGGCGUUCUGGCAGCGUUUCAGUCCGCAGCUGCAGCGCCCUGAGCCGGGUCAGCCGGGUCCACUAACAGGGAGAGGAGCCGGUCUGCACGUCAUUAGCUCAAUAAUCACUUAUCGUCUGUUCUGCCAACCCUAACAGAGAACUCUGUGGUCCGCUAGCUCGGUUCUGCCUCAACCCAAAAGAGAAAAGUCAAGCUGAAGAUAUGACUUGAUAGUUAAAUAUUGUAAAUAUCUUACUGCAUGCAUUUAAAUGUGUGCCUUAUCCUCUCACACAAGACUCUGAUAAAACCAGAAAAAAACGAAGGAAAAGAAAAUUAAAUGAAAGCAGCAUUUGAAUUAAUUUAAUAUAUCAUUAAUUAAAUGAAAUAUUUCUUUCUAGACAGUUUUCGUGGCAGAACAUAAACUCUCUCACAUAAAUCAAUACAAAAUGGAUUUACAGAGAAAACACAGAGGUUUUGCUUAUUUGCGAAAAUGUGAAAAAGUUUCAAAGCUGCAGCUCCCUAUGCUCUUAGUAAGGGUGCUGAGUGUUUCCUCGUACUGUAUCUGGUUACAGACCUUGAAAUUGUGCACUUAAAAUGUCUCCUGUAACUAGCGCCCUGCUUCCAUCAUGGUGAACCCCAAACCGUGUGCUUGUGUGGAGGAAGGGCACAGGUGAAGCCAUUUUGCCUCUCCAUAUCCAGUGCGCUGUAGAAAUAAGGGCCCAUUAGGGUUGAACGAAUACCAUGUUCCAUCAAUUAGCAAUUCCCCUAUGUGUGUUCGAUGUGUGUGUGUGUGUGUGUGUGUGUGUGUUCGAUGUGUGUAAAGUUAGGGGGAAGUUGCUUCAUUAACCACAGGAAGCAAUCAUGCUUGUGAGUAGCCAGGAUGUGAAAUCCAUUCGAGGUUGCAGAAAAACUCCUGUUUUCACACAAAUUGUGGCAGCAGGGGGUGAAAGUUUCUUACACUACGAGCCUCACCUCCUUCUUUGUUGUAUAAUGUCUGUCUUAAGUGCUCAUUAGAUGAUGCGGGCCCGGGGUCGGUGUAAUUGGCUGUUAGGCCAUCCACCCCUCCUCUUCUGAGCAUUAAUUUAAUCACUGGCCUAGUGUAAGCCUAUACCAACCUUAAUGGUUAAAGUAAUUGUGUCAGUGUGCUCUCCCACAGACAUUAUCCAACCAAAGUCUGUCCUCAAGCUGAAAUUCCACCUUGAGAUACAGUUAGUCAAGGCCAUUGAACUCAAGCAAACACUUGUGGCUAAUGGAAAAUUAUUCGAGCAAUUACCACAGAGGUCACUGGGAAAAUGAUAAUUGGAGAGCGAAUUGGAGAAAGAAAAAACCCCAACUUGAUAAUUUCAUUACUUUGUAGCUAAAAAGAAACUCAUCGGACGUAUAUCAGACCUGACUGAGUGCGUAAUGCAAUUUAAUGCAGUUUCAAGCAGAGGAAUAGAAACAAGUGAUUCUAGUUCAUAGUUGAGCUGCAGUGCAGUGGAAAUAAGUUGCACUGUGUGCGUAUAUGUGAAGUCUUUAUCACCGGGUGUUUAACCCAAGGCCCCCUCCUCUGCAAGCCCUGCCGUCCUUCAUAGCGUCACAGACCACAGGCAAGGAGCUAAAUAACAACGUUUCACAGUUUCACUAUGGGGCGCCGUCUACAGCCUGCGGCAUUGUCACAUGAUCUCAUUCUUGCCGAGCAAAAGGCUGCUGUUCAAGUGUGUGUGUGUGUGUGUGUGUGUGUGAGCUUGUGGAUGUGAAAUAGCGUUCUUGUCUGCGUGGGUGCCAGAGUGCAAUACUACGAUGACUGAGAGGCUAUAACCUUCAUCAGGUUCGUAAAGGUAAAAGAUGUGUUUCCAGGGGAAGCUAACGUUCCCCUCAGAUUUACAGAGGGAAAUGACAUAUCCUCUUUCUGACAAGGGACGUAAAAGUGAAAUGGGGGAGGAUGCUGAGGCAAAACAUACCUCUGGGAUACAAAAGCCUGAAUCAUAAACCCGUGUCUGGAGACAGGCACAGCAAUAUAACACGGAACCCAGUCAAAUUCAGGCAGGCUGGUUUUUUAAUAAAAUUAAACAAUCUAGCCAUACUUUUUCACUUUAAGCUGGUUCAGCUUUACAAUCAAGUACACAGAAAACACAUUUUAUAGCCAAUGAAAUGCCAUCGCUGUUUGGUUUAUUUCUACAGUCAGGAUCCUAAUAAUUUGAAAUGUUCCCUCCACCACCAUUAGCCGGGUUUAUUAUACAGUAAAAAAGUGAAAAACUCUCACUGCCACUUAUUGGCCUGUACAUUUCAGCGUAAUUGGUCCAUGGCCGUUUACGGCCGUAUGACUGUACAGAACAUUGUUUAUUGUUUCUGAAACAAUGCAGUUGACCAGAUCCUGAACACGGGGGUUAUUUGGAUAGAAAACAUGCUGCUCGACCCUUGUACAGUUUGUCAAGAUAGGAAAACAUGAUCCUGUUCAGUUUGACUGCUCCAGCCCUGAAAUAUUGUUCCUAAUCCCAAACUUACAAGUCUUGAGUCGACACGGCGUAAACAUUUCUUUCCCGUCAAAGUACUUCCUUCCCCUAAACCCUGUCAGUAGUUGUUUGGCAGCGACUGAAAGAUUGAGGCGCUUGUAAUGCCUUUUUCUGGGGCCGAAUCACAUGUCUGUCCAAAAUGCCUGCUGACCGCCAGCGAACGAUGCCUUUCAACAGAGUGGGGGCUUUCCAGCCGUUAGAGGUGGAAUAGUCCCUGGGAGGGGAUGUAUGGGGGAAAUAGGGGGGUCAGGCAGGAAGAGGGGAGCCCAGAUUGGCCAACUACCGUGGGGAAUCUGGUCUGGGCAGUGGCUCUCAACACAUCCAUCGUGACCUGAGGCAAGCAGGGGAUUGGUUUCCUUUAACAGCGCUCUGAUGUCCAAGCAUUCGAACGUGCGCUAUAGGAACACAUCCCAUGAACGCCUUUGGAUCCAUAAACGGAUAUUUCAGCAGGCAAAAUUGAUUAUUGCAUGCUAACAGGCAGGCGUGGUUAAUAUUGAUUAUUAAUUAAAACUUGUACACAUUUCAAGUGGGAUCCAAGACCAACUGACUAGAACCAGGCUUAGUGUUUUCUGAUGACCAAUAGAUUUGUGGAAAUAUACAGGGCAUGUUCGCAGAACUCAAACCGUCCACCAUCUUGUCCAAAAUCUCCCUUCAAGAAUGCAAACCACAGUAGUUUGGACCGGAGCCAUGUUGGGCUGCAGGCUGGGAAAUAGGCCGAGAUGGGUUCACAUUGGUUCAAUCUGCUGUGUUGGUAAUAACAAACAUCUUUCCAUGAGAACAAUUGAAAUUUUGCUUCCAACAUAUUGUUUGUAUUACAUGCGUGUACCUCUAUAAAUGUGCAUGUGCACAUCUAUGUUGCUGGGUAUGUAUGUCUACAUUCAGACACCAGCCUGUCCGAGGUAGUACCUCUGUCUGCAGUCUCACACUAUUUGAUUUCAUUUAAGUGGAAAUCAUUUUCUUAUUUAUCUUAAUAUCAUUGAUCUUACACUGGAUAUUUGGUGCAUAGAAGGAGCAACAUAAUUAAAAGCAGUACCAGUCUUUCUUUUCUGCCUCCUUAUUGCACUGCAUUCUUGACACAACUGUUUUGCCUUUGUGGCAGUAAAAUAGCACAACACUAUUCAAGAAAUGGAAAUUCCAUUUCCCCCUCCUUCUCCCUCUCCUACUUUUCCAUAAAUUGUUAAGGAGACCUGGAUGCAAACCAGCUUCAAGGCAUUGGAAUGAGUGUAUUUGUACUGGCUUAGACACUGUCCAGAAGAUAUUAGCUGUGUAGGAAAUGUGCUGAAUAUUACGGGCCCCACUUACCGGGGCCAAGAAAGACAGUUGGUGCAAACCCCAGACUCCUGUGCUGCUGCUAUCUCUCACAAUGUCCAGCCAGCUGAGUCAUGCUGGUGAUUAAAUGUGACUGGGUAGUGAAGGGUCAACUCUCAACUGAUACCCAGCCCAGUCUUGAGGGAGGGGGGGCGAGGCUCAGCCUCAAAUUUGCACGUCCAUGUGUACUUUUAAAAAGAAAUACCUGGCUGGUCGAGACACUGCUCCAGGUUCCUAUUGAAAUGCUGAAACAAUAGCCAUUGUUUGUCCAACAUGGUGCGCAUAUGCGUGUGUUUGCAAGUCGACAUGUGCACUCCUUUGAACCCCCCCCCCAAAAACAUACAAAAACAAUAGUAAUUCCAGAUGGGAAAUGACAACAUUUGCCCGCCACAAACACUCAAAGGCUCCAAGACAAAUGGAUUCUGAGUUAAGAUAUUUAUGAUCCCAUAAAUGGGAUUAUUUUUAAGUAAUCCAUUUUCAUGAAGAAUAAAAUGAAGCCACGCAUUAAUCUCCACGCUCACACGCUCUUUACUCCACAUUUCUCCCAUGCUUUGCAAAUGAGCCCUAAAAUGUGCUUGACUGGUAUUCCAACGGCUACACAAAGUUUCCUGAUCUGCAGUGUCAUGUGGGACUGCGACUAAUGAUCCAAAGGGGGAGCAGAUAAUGAAGGCAAUUUGUAGCAUCUCAUUAUGCCCUUCAUUCAUUAUUAUAGUUGAGAUCAUUUAUACAAUUUCUGCUAUGUUUUUUCACAUGAGAAGACGUAAAAGUCAUGACCAUUGGCCUCAACGACAACAGCUAUGAAAGUGACAGAGAGGAUGAAUCUCCCCCGUGAGGGAGGAGAAGAAUAAUUUAACUCAUAAAUAGCUACAUUAAAAUCACUCCGCUCUGCCUUGUAAGGUCAUGUAAGAGAACAUUACAACUCUAAAAACUGGUCUCCAUGCAAUCGCUGGCAGAGGGGAAGUUAUAACAUCAGGUUCCAUUUGGGCACUGAGCAUUUUGCUGAAAUUAUAACAUCUCACAUCCGUAGCUCCUGCGCCGGGAUUGGCCUGCGGACGCUUGGGAACUCUGGGGACUGUUGUGGGUUCAAAGUUCAGCUUCCACUUAUUGCCAAAGAAAGUAAACACGAGGCCAAGAAGCGUGUGGUUAACUUCCAAUCCCACGCUGUGAUUGUGGAUUUGCCAACUUUAUGGGAUGGCUUUGAUAUGACGUCUGUGGUAAAUGUUACAAUGCGCACAAUACGUUGUGGCAUCAACAGCGAUCAUCUUGAUUUUUCUCCUCUCAUAAAAAUGUCUACAUUAAUAUGUGAGUGCUUCCUUAACCGACUCCUAAAUCGAUAUGACUCCCAAAUCAAAAAGCUCAGGAGAGAGGAAGGAAGAGAGAGCGCCAGAAAGAGACUUUACUUGUUGUUUUAAGACUUACAGUAUAUAAAAGAGACAUAUUCUUGUAGGGUAGCAAUCAGAGAUUGGCCAAGACCUCCCGCAGCAUCAGUAUCUGCAAGUGAAUGUGUCAAUUGAGCCGAAACAAGCCGCAUAAAUACAGUGUCUCUUAAUACGAUUACAUUUUGAAGGGACCAACGCUCAUUGCCGAGUAGGUUCAGCUUCCAGGCGUAGUGAUGUGAGAGAAACCUGGAGUAACACAGAUUCAUGGCCUUAACGCGGGGAAAUGAGUGACUGAAUGAAGUCCUCCUCCCCAUUGUGUCAUGUCCGACAUGCCGUGCCAGAUCUUCAGUCAGAACAUGGCUCAGCAAGAGCCUUUUUCAACAGACGUGACCAUGUUCUUGGCAGAUCUGAGAGGCAGCUCUCCUCUGAAUCUUCUCUGCAUGGCUCAAAGAUACGAGAUUAGACAGCUGCAUGUCAGACUCAUUGUCCUUCGUUAACAAGUCUAAUUUGUGCCUCAUUCUGUCUUCUAGCUCUUCCAAGAUCUCAGACAAUCAUUCUGCCCCCCCUCUGGGGUUGGAGGAAGCCUCGCGCUGGCAUCCAUAUUUGCACCAUCUGUGUUGGAGAAAGCUGGAUAGAGAUCGAUCACAAGCACUCAAACACACACACACACACACACACACACAUAAACAUUCACAGAAUGCACAAAUGCUAACAUAUACACUGACACAAUCAUCCCUUUUUUCUCUGUAUCAUACAUGCACUCAAGUUUAUAAUCCUUUGUUGAAUCCUGGCAUACACCCACACACACACACACACACACACACACACACACCUUCAUUCCCAUGUUGUAGUUGGUGUAAUCCCCUUUCCCCAUCUAAUCCCAAAAUCCCUUAACUAAUUUCGACAAAAAAAAACACAACAAAUGAGACGAUAACAUUUUCUAAGUGAGUGAUUUAGCUUCACAAUCAGCUUUGAAUACUGAUUGUGAGGCGGGCAGUUGAUGCGUCGUGACGUCUGCCGGCUUUGAGCGAUGCUCAGCUGCACCUUGUCACACUCAGCCAAAAAUCUCUCUUCUCUCUGUUGCUAAACUCCCACAAGGAUCUUUAAACAAACUAAACCUUGUCACGGGACCAUUAGUUGGCAGAUUUCUAUUAUAUCUCCCACUGUAUUUACUGCAAUAAAACCAAUGACUGUGUGAUAUAAGUGGACGUUGAAGGGAGUAGCUGUUGAUCCUCUCUAUCGCGCUGCAGUCAGGAUGAGUGAAAUGGUCCAUUGGCAGUUAUGCGUCUGCAUCAUAGGAGACAUUUGAAUUUAAGUGUUGAGGGCUCCUAUAAAACAAACGGAACGGAUGACCACUGGUGGGAUGGAUGAUCCCAGUCACUGUCCCGUGGUUAUUUUAAAUCCUUUGCCACUAGAUUCCACUGCCUGCGUAUUUUCCUCCAACCAAAAAAAAGGAAAAAAACCAAAGCCAUCAAAUAUUCAUACUGGAUGAAGCCAUCACGCAGGAGCAGAUUUAGCUGUUGAAGCAAUGUAGCUGGUCUCUGGAGGACAAACUGGCAUGCAGAUUGGUUAGUCUCCAGCUGCCUGGUUCUGUUUGUGUUUUUGCCCAGACAGUUGGAUAACGUGUGCGUUUGCCAGAGCAGGAUGCUGACCAUUAGUGGUAACCUGUUUGUGUGAAUCCCACCACAUUUUCUUUACACUGUAGCAAACAAAACCCAGCUACCAAGCGUUUUGAGCGCCAUCACGAUGCAAACCUCAAACCCACAUGUGAACCCAACCUGCUUUGUGAAAGCCAACUCGGAGUGUGUCUGGAGUUUUGGCAAAGCCUUGUUUCCUCGCUGAGAAAUUAACUUUCUCCUAUUGGCAUGAUUUCCUUUUCCAAGUAUGAUGUUGUUUUCUGCAGGAGUCAUUUCUGCGCCCCACGCCGAGCGGGCCUCUACCAGCUGUAACGCUGCUCCGGGAUCACCUUACGCUUUAUCCUCUCCCCUCUCAUGCGGCUAUCAGCAGAGUUGUGUCUCGCUAGAUGUUUUUUGGAGAUGUGCCCGUGAAAGCUGAGACAGAUAUUAAAGAGGGAAUUAAACAAGCCCCUCCUGGUUGCCUUGUUUAGAUCUAUCUGCGUCUUCGCCGCCGUUUUCAUUGUGACAGACGGACAGAUAACAACCGGCGUGGCAUUUAUUUGUUCACACAAACAAGCGCGCAUCUGCAUGUGAGCGCGCACCGUGUUCCUCAGCGUUGUCUAUCUGCGUCUGAUAGAUGCUCCCUGAAGGGGAAGCAGAAACAGGCACCUGAAUAUAACACGGAGUGUGCGGUGGGUGAUAAAGCUCCUACGGAGCACGGGGCCGCAGAAAGGUGCCACCGAAGGCUCGCAGAUCGUUAUCGCCGAGGAGGAGGAGCCGAGGCGCGGAGGGAAUAGGGCCACUCGGGACAUCAGGCAGAGUGGAGCGGAUCUGCAUGUUUAUUUUUAGCGGAGGAAGCAGGCCUGUGUUAGCAGAGCGUUAGCACUCUGUUCUAUGGCAGUAGUUUAGAUGAAAAGAUGAGGCAGCGGUAUGAGAAACAGCAGAGACAGUGCAGUGAUGUUUAACAUUACAGUAAAGGUCCAAAACGUUAACGGACGGCAGAGUGAAGUGCAAGAAAAUGCUCCAGAAGAUAAAAGAAAAGAAAAGCCUGUUCAAUCUUUUGUUUGAUGUGUGAUUUCUGAUGUUUAUCGACUGCACAGCAACAAUGUGUUCUGCUUUGUUCCUUUAAUAACACUUUGGUACAGCUGAGGUGGAUUUCUUUCUUCUCCAUCAAUUAUUCUGCAAAACGAUUCUUUGUUCCUUUGUAUCCUCGCUGCGACUUUCGGUCUUUGAUUUUCCAGAAGAGGCGUCGGGGCAAUUCAAUAUUUGUCAUCCUAGGGGUGGAAACAGGGUUCUGCUGGGAUCAGAGUGGGACGUUGUUCUGCGCAGAGCUCUCCACCAGUCAGUCCAAAGGGCCAGUUCUAGGGAAACAAUGCAGCAAACAGAGAUGAAUGGACAGAUUCAAAGACAAUAGUUUAAUUCAAGAGAAGGAGAGUGACAGAGCUGGGCAGAAAGUCUAUGAUUCAUUCAAAAAUGGGAACCGCAUGUGUGAACUGCAGUGCCAUAUUCACUUCUUAAUUGCAAGUAGUGUCAGUUUUUUCUCAAGAACGUAUGAUUUAUGUCCCCCUUUAUGUGUUAAUGAGAGUACCUAUUAGUGUUCCACCUUCCUCUGCAUUCUGUGGGAGCAAUUGCAGCUCAAUUAAAGCCCAACCAAGCAGAUGCAAAUUGUCCCAAAUAGCCGGCGACCAGUCAGUUUAAUAGGCCGCUUUUUGAAGGUGUCGUGUUGCAGUAUACAACACAUGGCUUUAAUGAAACAAUUCAGAUUAUUGAACUUUUUAAAUAGUGUAAAGAAUCGUUCCCACAAUGUUGUCCGAAAAGUUCUAAUGUUUGAUCGAUCUGAGAAAAGUAAAAUACACAGAAAGUCUGUCGGCAAUGUGAAUCCUGCGGAAAUAUUCAUUUUCAUGGUCCAUUAUGACAAAAUGUUUUUCAGCAAUAGAAUGAUAAACAGAUGCUCAGGUCUGAACCUAAUCCUUAGACACAGCAAAUUUUCUACAACUCCUUACAAAAAACUGAACAACGACGCAUGCAUCCCUUAUGUUAGGCACUGUACUGAAACUUUUACUGGAUAGUUCUCUCUUUUUCCCUCCCUCCCUCCAUAUGUGCCCAUCCACUGGAAUGAAGUCAUAUGAUCCUCUGCGUUUUCCCGUUGUAUCCAUAUGCUUGUGGUUAUGACUUAUGUGUUUCCUAAUGUUACUAAGACUAGGGCUAAAAUACCGUGCUGAUGCUGCAGCUUGGAGGGACAGACUCACAGGAGGUAACCACAGCACUUUUUCUGUCAAGAAAAGAAGCUCAGAGCCUGCUGGCAUUGAAUAGUAUUCCAACUCAAGUACAUGCACACACUCUCACCAGGGUUCUAGGUGUACCUGAGUCACUAAACCGGACCAAAACACCUCCCUGGCCUUAAAUCCAGCUAUAUCUGUCUCUGGAAGCCACUAGGCCUGUGUCUAUGUGGUGCGGCAUUCACUAGUUACCAGUCAGGGGCCUCUGAGCAAAGCCAGUACUGCGUCAUCCAUCUAUCCCGACCGAACAUCUUUUAUCUGACAUUCUCCCUGCGUGCUUCUUUCUUCUCCAGCAUCUGAUCUUUUUUCUGCUGCCAUUCAGGCCUCAGAAAUAUGACGUCUGUUGCUCUAAUGAUUUGCAGACCGUAAGUGGAAAUGCCCACCAUGAAUCAUGAAAAUGCAUUUUCCCAUUUCCAUUAUGGAGGAGCCUACAUGCUCAUGGGGAGAUUUACUCCAUCAUCGCUUUCUUGUUCGCUGCCUCUUUCUCUUCCUCUCUUUUGCAGCCUUCCUGACCGCCUCCUCCUCCUCCUGCUCCCCCCCCUGAUUUUUCACGUUCUUCUGUUUGUCUUGCUGGAAAAUGGCAAUCAAAAAACUGGCAUGUGUGCAUCAUGAAUGAAAGUGAAUAUCUAAAAUAGCAUCGAAGUGUCUCCGAGAUUUUAAUCUGACGUCCUUAUCUGAUUCCUUUAUAAAUCCAUCACAGGAUCCUUCGUCUUACUCCCUGAGGGCUACACAUCUUGACUUAAAUGAAUGUAAGAUGACUUUGUGAACGAAGAAUUUGUGCAGCUGCAUGCUUGACUGUAGUUGCGCUAGACUAUAGCAAUUAUGGCAAUGCUGUUUGAUGCACCCGACUUCAAGCCUUGCAGCAUAACACCAGGUUUUCAUUUCAGAAGAUUUAGCUGCCCUGUUCAAACUUAAGGGCAUUUACAUGCUAAUCAGCAUCAACAGCAUAAUAGGUUCUGCAAAUGAUUUGUACACGCACAUGCUAUGUAAAAGCACCGUUAUGCACAUUUAGUUUACAUUAAGUUCUGGUAAGAAACCCAUGGUUUGGGUAUUUGUUGUAGACGUUGUGGGCCCCCGAUCCUCAGCGCAGACGCCGAAGCUCUUCGCAAGUGCUCCUGUCGUCACAGCAAGCACACCGAGCGCUCACAAAUGAAUAGCGCAGUUGUAAUUUAAGAUCGGUGGCGGGGUUAGGUCGGGAGUCGCCAGUGUCAUUGAUUUGGCAGGGCGUGCAGCAUCAUAAUGUUGGAGGUUUAUCCAGAGGAGAAAACUGGCUCAGCUCCUGAUGGUUGCCUGUACGGCACAUAAACCUGACUACACAAUGCAUUCUAAAGCAUGCUUUUAUGUUAUUAAUCUCACAUGUCUGAUAUCAUCCUCAUUCAGGACAAAUGCACAUAUUAUUAUUUAUUUAAUAAUGAAACAAGCGUGACUGUGUAUUGCGUCAUCCACAUUCUGCCGAAGGGAGUAAUCAGAUGUUACUUGUUUUUUUUCCUCCUUCUGAGGAUCUGUCACAUUUAUCUCUUUCUGGGGCUUUUCACAGCAAUUUAUGAAACAGAAACAUCAUGCACAUUAUGUCUGCAUGUUGAAGGAGCUGUGGUCAGUAUCAACGCUUGGAAACAACAAUAACGCACUGACUGGUUACUUAGCAACCAGUGAUCCAUAUAAGCUUUGGAGAUCAUGUUGCUGCUCCAGGUAACACAUUUUAGCAUUCACACAGUAUAAGGGAGACUUAAAGCAGAUUUUUUUUCUUACGCUCUGAGGACGUAAGCUGAAUGUUAUUUGUUUGCUCAUUGAAAGUUGAAAGAAUGUUUAGAAAUAUAAAUAGUUGUGGAUUUAUGAUUAUUAUUAGAGUGUGUAGAGAAGGACACACAAUACACAUUCAGAUACCUGUUAUGAUGACACAUGUUCAUCAUUAUAAUCUUGUUUACUUAUUUCUUCAAACAUAUUUACUGAUUUAAGUGCAUUGUAUGAUUUAAGUUUCACGACAGCUGUCAUUAAAGACACAUCCAAGCUGUACGUUUGAUUUAGUUUCAUGCAAUAGAUUCCUUAACAAUAAUGGUCAAAAAAGCAAGUAACGCAGACCAGAUUAUGUUUUGUAUUAAUAUGAGCGUCUGGCAAGUUGCAAUGGCGUGAUGCCAAACACAAUAAAAUGUUCAUUGAAAACAUGUUUAAUUUGUUGAACCUCUAACAUCAUAUCUUGAAAUAAAUGAUUCACAUAUAAAGGCUGUACGUUUAUGGAAGUACAUUCUGCAGUUCCAUGAGACAGAAUAUUUGUAAACGUUUAACUCAAACUACAAUCCUCUCUCUCUGACCUUUACCAAGUUUAUUGCCAAAACUUCACCGCAGACAGGAGUCAGGAUGUGAAGCCUGAUCUGUGGUCAAAGUUUGAGAAAACAUCUAAAUUAACAUAAUUUUAAGAGGCGGAGUUGGAUUAUCAUCAUGUCUUAUGUUUUGCUGUACUGCCUCCAUGGAGAUAAAACAUUCCUUCAUGUACUAAUUGAAACCGACGGAAGGCAGGGCAACACCCGGCCAUCUGUCCAACCAGGAAAACAGCCAGUUUUGGUGUUGAAAAGUAUCCUAUAUAUUUAAAAAAUGUUCCAAUAUAAAACUUUACUACCACUGGUCGCAGUUUUUAGUUCGUAGAUUUUAAUAGCCACGUUGCCCUCAAGCAGAAUAAGCAAACUGAACUACAGUACAUUUGGUGAAAGAUCACAAAAAUCGACUCAGUGCUUGAUUCUACCUAAAAGAAACUUCCCCCACUGAGGGUUGAAUGCAGCAUUCCUCGUCCCUCCUGGGUCAGAGUGAACAUUUUGACGAGCUGGCCUCCUUCGGCCUCUGCCAGGAAAUGACUACAGUUCAAGUGGAAGUGCUUAACAGCUGGUAGCUGCGAUCCAUAAACAGAAGAUGGAGACCCUGAUUGGAGCAGCACGCUGUUCAACGUCAGGCUAAAGUUUCAGCCUCCUGCCCCAGAGUGUAAAUCACACAGCACGGGGAAACGGAAGCCAGAUGGUUAUUCACCUCCCAGCGUAUUGUGAGUGGGAAUAUCGCUUUGCAAAGGUGUUUUCUAUUGCAGAAAUGUAAAAAAAAGAAAGAAAAAAAAGGCAGAAAUAGAGCACCAAUAUUAUACGGUUCCCCAGUUAGAACUAGUGCAGUCCUUGGAGAAGACGAGGCCAUGCUGGUUCAAAAGCAAGAGCUGAUUGAAAACAAGAUUUCCAUUUGGAAACAAGAUCCGGAUGAGGAAGGUUAACGGCUUACAAUAUGUUCUCUUUACAUCUGAAUUGAAGACCGGAAGAGUUUCGUAAAACAAAGACAUUUGGGCCAGUCCUCACUUUGUUAACAACUCAUCCAGAGCUGGAGGAAAUUGUCUUCGUGGUCAAAAACAACAACAACAACAGUUUAACUGACUAAUCCAACCUCCUCCCUCUGCAGACUUUGUGGCUCUCUAACAGCCUGACACAAUAUCCUGAUUUCCUCCUGACACACAACAAUCACAAUACCGUCAGAUUAAGUGACAAGAGAUAUUGUUUGAAACAGCCGACCAGAGAGGUAUUUACAGUAUAGUGCAGUAUAUAUACAGUACAGCUGUCACAAGAACAACAUUGUCUCUGCCAACUUUAAACAUUUAUUGUAUUGGUUAGGGGAACUUUAACAUAGAAAUAGAGACAAAACUAUUCACUUUCUUUCUUUUCUCUCUGAAUUGAAAUGCUCCCUGAUACAGUUAACACCAAAGUUUUUUUGUAUAACAUGUAUUGCUGAUACAAUUUCUUCAAUAUUUCAAAAGAACUGAAUAAACCAAGUGCACAUAUAUCAUCAAAUACUACUAGAUCUGUGUAUCCAUUAGUUCAAAGGCUAUACGAAUUGAAAAUGUAAAAUCUAUUGAGAACCAAUUCUAUAAUCAAAUUAAAACAUUUCCAAACGUUAUCUAACCAUUGAUUUACCAUUUAUUUAUUGGCGAGGAAAUAAUAAUCCUGGUAAACGUCUGGAUUAGGUGCUACUAGAUUUCUUGAUUAGAUGAGAUUCCUCACAAGUAUUUAUAAAAGUGUGUUUAUAUGUGUUUGCUAGCCUAUGAGAGAGUUAUUCUACGGAGAAGCCACUCAGAGUUCAGGGAUCUCAAACAGGUUUCCCUUUAAUGUUACGGGUCUCUCCUCCUGAAACAACUUCCAAGUUGGUUGAUGGAGGUGUAAUGCAAAUUGGACUAAUCGGUAUAAACCAAGUUGAAUGCAUUGAACAAACACUCUUCAGGUCCAAAAGCUCACUAUGAUCCAACUCAUUGCUGCAAAUGACAUCUACCAAUUGACAAAUGUUCUGUCCCCUCAGCUGAAACAGGACUUGGACACUUGGAACUAUAAUGGUUUGAGACAGCCACUGUGUUAGCGGCUCAGGAGCGGGGCCGUCCUGUCCGGUAUUAUGGGGUGUGAAAGGAGAAGAGGAAUAUCGAUGGGGAGAGGCAAAGAUAAUGCCGGUGAUGGAGGUCGGCUGAAGGCUGACAGGACAACCCAAUGGAGGGGAAACAGAUAACCGACAGGAUCCCAGCCAUCUGAGCCGUGGGAGGAGCGUUCAGCGAGAGGUGAGAUUGAUUAGUGUUAGUCAAAAAAAAAGAAAAGAAAAGGGGGUCAAUAGAAAGACUGUGAAGUGGCUGGAGAUGCAAACUUCCCUUUCAAGAGGCCCAGUAACUGAUUCCGAAGGUUUUAAUCACAUUUUUUUCAAUUACUUGAAACAAAUGAACAUUGUGGAUUUCUAUCGGCUUUUUCUUUGUUAAGACGGAAAUUAAUAUAUAGUAUCUAAUUAACACUCCGCGUGUGUGCACUUAAUGCCUGUGUACAUCACAGAUGAAUGUCUUGAGGAGGUUGUAAAGAAGCCGAGCCUAUAAUGGGGAAGUAUCAAUCUUCGUAAUUAGACAUAUGUUAACAGAAAAGCUAUAAACCAGCACGUGUUUGAUGUUUUCUCCCUUGUCAGAAAUGCCUCAUUUUGGGGCAGCAGCUGUGUUGUGAUUUGGAGGUGCUGUGUCUGUUCUCUGCUAAACUUGAGAGAAACCGCCGCCAGCAAAACUCAAGUCCGCCUCUACCUAAGCUCUUGCUGCGAAUACAAUUUUAGUUAAACAUUUCCAUCAAGUGUUUAAGCUUUGUCUGGUAGCCUCCGGCCGGCGUGACUUUGCCCAUGGGCGAUCUUUUCACUCCAGCAGUAUCUUUCUGUCCCUUUGACUCUGUCUCCUCCCUCGACUUCACUCUCAUUCCCCUGCAGCUAUUCUACCCUCCCAGUGGAGACCGGCAGUCUGCGUCGCAGACACUUUUGCAGGAUGUCCAGGUUUAACUAUGACCCAGUACCUAACAGCUUGCCCAAAACUGCCACAAGACUUGAAGCGGAAAAUAAAUUAGCAGCAAAUUAUCUGUCAAACACCUGCUGGGGAAGUAGUGCAGGGUCUCGUCUUGCCCACAAACAGCUGGUAAAAGAGAUGAAAAGGGGCAUUUCUAUCUGACCUGAAGUCACCACCGCCUCUUUUCGCCACCUGUUAUAUCACACCUCUAGUUGCAUGUGAGUCAAAUUGUUAGUGACACGUGAGCUGUCAGCGGCGCUGUUCGCUUUGGGACAAAUAAGUUUAGCGUGGAGCUGAGUGAAUCAAUGUUGACAAGAGGAGAACUCCCAUGGCUGUUUUCUGUCACGUUGCAUUGUUUGCCUCACCUCCUAAUUGCUCUGGCUUGUGUAAUGAACUAAUUGCAGCUCGUUAUGAUUUUAGGAGUGAUCAUUUCGUGCAAUGAGAGCAGUUUUAUUGACACCUGUGGUAGAAGUUGAUGAAGAUGGCUCACUGGGACCCAUUAAGUGAUAUAAGUAAGGGUGAAUAUUUACACAUAACUGUUAUUAACUAACAGACACAUGGCAACUUAUUCCCUGGAUUAAGCAGCAGGAAAAUAUCACCGUCAUUUUCACACAGAGAUAUUGUAUUUAUAAUGGAAUUGUUAUAUGCAGGAGAGAGUAUUGAAAGUAUGAUUUAAGUUUCAACAAAUUGAAGUCAAAAUCACACAAUUUUACAAAAUCACAUAGUAAUAAUACACCACAUCACCGUAAUCAGAGGGGUACACUAAUGUAAAAUCACAGUUCAAUACAGUUAUCCUAAAUUCUACAGCAACAUACUGCUGUAUUACAGUAAUUAGAUGGCAUAAAUAUAACUGUGACUGUGAAGUCGGAGUAGACUGAUGUAAUUUUACUAUAAUUUACAUUAAAACAGCGCUGUAACCUGUAGUGAGCAUGUGAGGUAAUUUAUUGCAAGUCAGAUAUUUUACAGUGCACCAGUCAGUGUGCAUCAACAUUCUACCAACUCUCCUUCGUCAGAUCUGCCUGGGUGGCUCUUUAGAAGCCAGCUGACUUUACAUUGCAGUAGAUACCACCUGUUUAGAGAAAAUACAUUAAAGCUCAAAAUGAAAGGUAAUAUCCAAUGACCUUUUCCAUGGGACCCAUCUGCAUUAUUCAAGCUGAGCAUAGAUUUGAAGCGGCUAAACGAUGCACUGGAGUAAUGUUUUAUUCAUCCAGCUGCUCCAUGAUCUCCAACCCCUCAAAAAACAAAUGUUAGGAGGUUCAUAUAGAAACAUUGAGAUAAAUCUUCUCUUAAAAAAAAAGUAAUAAUAGUACAAACUUAAAAUACAUUUUCACCGUGAGUACUGAAUUAUUUAACGGUUCUUAUACUACUUCUCCCUAUAAUGGUCUAUUUUGUCAAAGUUGACUGCGGAAAAAUCGUAUCUUUUGACAAAUUUACGUGUUUACUCAAGCGACGAAAAAAUAUCCAAAAGAUAGAAAACCAUCAGUAUAAGUUGUUUUUAGGGAUGUGAUGCCGAGGAGAUUCUCCCACUGGUUAAUACGUGACAAAACCAGUGUUACCAAUUUCACAGCUAUUUAACAAGGAAAUUAUUUGAUGGCGUUGGAUUUUUGUAGAGCGCCUACUUUGCAGGCUGUGGCUCAAAAUUUCAAUGUAGGUGCUGUGGCUUGUCUGGUGGACACACAAGCAUUGUCCAUAGAGACGGCAAUCAGCUCUGGCCUCAGCGUCGCAGCCUGAAAGCCUCACAGCUGGACCCACUGGAUUCCAGGGGUGCUGUGCUUGAAGAUGUUUGUGGUAGAUUAGACUUUUUGAUUGGAAUUAUCAAUGGGGUUCCUUGACCUCAGACCUCGAGAUGUGUGAAUGAAAAUUGGUUGUAUGGGUAUCCACAAGUCUCUCCUCUGCGAACAUGCCCUCUUUAUAAUAACCCCGUGCCAUUUGGGCAAACCUCCAAGCUUGUUUUUGGCAUGCAGUACAAACAUUUUUAUUUUGGCCUGUUUCAAAAGUGUAUUGGAAUAUUUAACAGGCUGGAAGUUAAAAGAACAGCCUUGGAAUUGCAUGAGAGAGAUUAUUCUGGAUUGAAUAAAGCCAAUUGUAUUAACAUGAGAUGACGUUGGUCCACAUACGAGCUAUUUAAUAGUAGUGAAGGCAUUUUUUAAAUUUGAUUGAAUCAUUGACCUGGUUUGACCUCUUGGAUCUGUUUCCAAAAGCACUCGCCGUCUAAUCAGCAGACAACUCCUGCCCUUUGUACCAAAAAAGUGGAUCCAGGACAAAUAACUCAAAUCAGCUCAAUCAUUACUUGUUUUUCAUCCAGAAAAGAAAAUCAAUGUGAUUUUAUGCAGGAACCAGAAGAGAUACGUGAAACAACCCCAUGGAUCAGUUUCAUCAGGAAUUCAUCAACGAAGGAGAAAUACCUGAAAACUAUAACGAGGCAAAUGGGAGCCAAUAGAACCUCUUCAAAUAAAUAAGGUUUGGAAGGCAGAUAUUUCAGACUCGGAAAGUCAUGAGAAAUAUCACAAAUUUAUGUCAGUGGAAAAUGCCGUAUGGACAUAAUGUGAAGGCAGGUCAGGUUGCUCAUGACAAGAUCUAAAAUCCCAGGACGGUCGAUGCAAAGUGAAAAAGAGGCAAAAGCAUCAAACAAACACUAGCAAUGUUUUGUGAGUAAAACUAAAAUCAUCUAAAGAGCUUUAAAAAAAGUGGAGGAAAACUAUGAAGUGGCAAGAGGAGAGAAUGUGAAGAAUAGAAGGAAAAACUGCCAGAUGCAACCUUUUCCGGAGUAAAUGUGACCGAUGCAUUGAACCUGGAAAACAAGGCCAAAAGAUAAGAACUAAAGCUGUUCAAAAAGAGGAACUAGCAUGUCAAAGCUUUGGAGAAAUCCUUCAUCGUCACAAAGGCUCAGAAAGAGGCAAUUAGCCAGAAGAACAAUGCUCUGCAAUGUAAGAUUCAGGAGUUACACGGACAAAGCAGCUUUGCACAAAGUCAUAAGCCGUCAAAACGACACGCUGCUAAAGGAUCUCCUGGAGCUCAAGGGCACAGAGCAGCCUGUGAAGGCCUUUGUUGAAUCACGCAAUGUCGUGAAACUUGACAAAGAGGUGAUUAGCCAAAAGAAAGACACUCUGCAACAUGAGAUUCAGGACUUAUAACAACAGGUGAAGUUUGAGGAAUUCUUCGCAGGAAACCAACGGCGCAAUGAGGAAAAGCUUUGACCGACAUCUAUGAGAAAGAGGCCAUCAAACGAAAGAGCAACGCUGCAGGUAAAAAAGACGGACGCCCUCAAGUCUCUAGAAGAAACUUUGACAGAGUUUACUUCCUCUCCGGUUCUCGUCCUCAAAACAAAACUAAAACUAAACUAAAAAAAGGUCAGAGUCCACCAUGACUUUGAACAAAACUACUUACUACAAUACACCCCAUUAUAAACACCUAAAACUGUUAUUGGUUAAAGUUUAAAAUAGUAUAGUUUUCAAAAACACCUAAAAGCUAAAUCAUACCUUAGUUAAAGGUUUUGUCGAAAUAUUUAAAUUCAUAUACAAAUAGAAGUUUAAAAGGAUUUGAUGAUUUUCUCCACAGCUUAACAAUUUCAAAAGCAAAAUCAUAACCGGGAUACGAGAGAGCUGAAAUUCUGGUAAUUUAUUGAUGGAGCGCUGCGGAAUCCGCAUUCCAGUAAUAAGCCCGAAAGAUGAUAUUCUGAAUGCUAAUGUUUUGCUUGAAUUAAAACCGUACUGUCAACCAUCAUUUCCUUUACCGUUAUAAAAAAGACACAGUUUUUUCCUACAAAUGCUAAUCUGGUCACUAAUUUGCUUUGUCCACAUCAAUCUGACAGAGGGGACCUUGUUGCAGCUGCAGGUGUUUGCAUCUGUUGUCCAACAGAGUUCACCACAUGACCCGCUGACCUCUGACCUCAUCUCUCAUCGCUCCCUGCAGCUACACCCACUGCAUGAGAGUGUUGAGUUUGCGUCUGCCAUGUCUUCAUGCGUAGAAACCUCAUGAAAGACGAGUUCAAAAGGAAAUUCCACAUAAAUGGGUGCUGUGCCUUCAUCAAAAUUCAGGGACAUUUUGAGAAUUCUUUCUUUUGACCAAAGGAGACACACAGAGCUGCCUAAUGCUUCCAAAAUUGCAAAACAAAUUGCGAGUAUCUGCACCCUUAGCACUGCUUUUCUGAAACGUAAUGAGAUAGUUCAAAGAGAAACAUCCCACUGUAUGAGCGUGUCUUUGAAGUCACAAUAUUUGUAUCCCAUUCAUUUGUGCUUGUUGUCCAGCACUAAAUGUACUCAUUCAUUCAUUCACGCUGCGCUGACACAAAGGAGAAAGUGUCUAAAUACACAAGCUUUGUUGACUAAAUAUGCUUUCCGUUUGCAUUGAUAUUUGAUGAUUAUGAAAGACGUUUGCAUAGUCUAAUAGUUUAUAGCCAAUAAUUGGCGUUGUCCUUCUUCACUGAAACAUAUAAAGGCAUAGCAGGUUUAAUUCCUCGGGUAUAGCGCACAUAGGACACAAGAACUCUGCAUAAUAAACAAGCUGUUAUCUCCAUCGGCAAGUCUGCCAGAUAAAUUGACAUCCUGCUGUAACGAGCUGCUCAUUGUCGUACGGUGAAACUCCACGCGGCACACGCACGCUCUCUGGCCUCCACGUCAGCCCCAACACUCUGUGAAACAUCUAAUGGCUUUCAUAUCAGUUCUCUAUGUCUUCAAGCCGGUCUCCAAGGGGCUGUGCAGUGUAACCCCGCCUCCCGUCAGUCACUGAGUAGGACCCAUCCAUCAUCCAGGGCAUAAUUACUCUGUAUAGCUACUUCUCCGCCCGUCACUGUAAUGUUCACAAGCUGUGUUCAGAAGAAGGGCGAGACCCGCUCACGUCUAUUCUCAGACUAUCUGCAGAAGUGAUUAGAGCUGGAGACACGCAGGCCAACCUCAUCAGUGAGAGAAUUAAGAUCUCUGAGGCAAUUUGAGGUGGAUCAGUGUUUACUUGAGGUUUACUUUGUUGUUGCUGCACAAUCUUCAUUUUAGUUUUGUUAUUUGGUUUCUUUUAGGAUAUUCACAUUAUUAUAUCACAAGAGAAUUUUCAUUGGGGAAAAAAGAAGCAAAAGAGUAAAAUAUUCAGAUAAAGGGUGAGAGACACAGAGAGAAGGAAGGCGGGGGCGAGGAGGGAAGGAAAAGGCUGUUUUGGCUGAGUGGUUGUCUCACAUGAAGGGGGCCAUGCUGCGACCAUAUGCUAGUCCAGGUGGACCUGGUAUCCAGGCAACUGUAUCAAAGCUGUGGGGGCAAUUGCAAAUGAAUCCAGAGGACUUUUCAAACAGAAAAGUCGGAGGGAACAAUGCAGCUAUCAUCUGUCGACAGGUAAGAUCACCUGGCCUCGCUGAGCCCGACUCUCCUUCUGGCAACUCCACAGGGAGCUCAUUCAGACACUCGCACAAGGUGUCUGGAGGAAACACUGGCCUGUUUGUUUCAUUUUGGUAUUCAGUCAGUGUCAGCAGAUUCAAAGUAGUGGCCAGGUGCUUAAUACAAAUGAGGAGAUUUUAAUGGACGGAAAGAUGUAUGUAUUCCCUCUCAUUCAUAUCCUUUUUUUCACAUCAGCUGUACACCGUCUGCAAAAACCCCAAAAGCAUCAGUAAUUUUUGUAAUACAUUAUAUAUUCACCCUCACAAGCUGUCCUCGGGAAGCCUUGCUCUCAAAUUGCUCCUCAAAACUUUAAAGCAACAAAUGCACCAAUAGAUGCAGGUUGUGUCAAAGCAUUAAAGAUGUCAUCCUACAAAUGCAUGUCCUGUACAUGUGUGGGUCAAGCAUGAGUCAUCUCACAGAGGGCUCCUGUAUGCUGCAACGGGCUGCCAACAGGGAAAUGAGCCCAAGGUCAAAAAGACAUAUGGAAACCUUCCUGUAUGUAACCAAACACCUGCCGUCAUUACUCUCCAUAUAGUAUUUCACUAACAAGCACGGCGCUAAUACCUAAAAUGGGUUGUAUGAUGUUUGUUGCAUAAUGGAGAGGGUAGGAUGUAGGAAGCAGACAGAAGGAGGUUGAGGGAGCAAGGGAUGUAGGCCUGGGGGUCUAGGGACGAAGGGACGGUAGCGUGUAGGGAGGAGGAGAGGAGGAGGAUAGAGGGGGUAGUAGAAGUGAGCGAUGGGGGACCGUUGGCGACUCAUGAGACGCAAAACGUGUCUUCUGAAGCUGCUGCAGAGUCCUCCCCCUCUCAUGUGAUUCAGCGCUACGGAGAGAGAGAGGGCGAAUAGAAGCACAUGGAGGACAAAAAGAGGAGAGUAAAAAGAAGGUUGGGGCAUGUUGAAAAGCAAAAGUCAAACAGGAAGUGAAGAGGUUUGUUGCACUUAAAUACAAAUUAGCUGUGUUGGGGGCGUGGUCCUUGGUCCCGGACUGUAUUUUGUUAAAAUUACCUACAUCAGUAAUUUAUUAUUAUUUACAGUGUUGAAUUGAUUACCCAAAACAAAAAAGGUAUAGCUUCAACACAAGUUAACAGUUAGUUCACUUUAGAUAACAAAACUGGAUUCAAGGUCAGUGUGAUUGUCUUUGAAAACAAGCGUUUUAGGUCUUAUAUAUAUACACUUAUAUCAUAGUCCUCCUAUUUUGAAAUAAGAUACAUCCACAAUGUGGUUUUGUAUUCACGUUUGCAAAAUAUAAAUGUUUAGACACUACAUUAAAAUGUGUUUUCUCCAACCGUAUAGCGGACUUCACAGAAAAAGGAAUUCAUCAUCAAAUUGCAUUGUACUGAGUGUAUAUAUCAACCCUGACAUACUGGCAUACGCACAGAGAUAGAAUUGGCUCCCCAACAUGAAACUGGCGAGUUAGCGGUAGACUAAAGAAAUAAAUGGGCUUAAUUCUGCUGAUGAGGGAAACGACAAUAACCAAGAACCGACAUUUUAGUGGAAAUUAACACUCUGUCAGCCAAUUGUUUUUGCAGGAAAACCAAUUUGCCAUAAAAAGACCUAAAACCUAAUUUGUUUUACAGAACGGAAUAUGCUGAAUGUUAAACAAUGUCAGCAACCCCCAUGAAACGCUUCGUAUAUUAAUCAUAUUAGUACGGCUCAUUUAUUUUACUCAAUCCAUCGGACUCUGUGGCGAGAAGCUAGCUUGUUAAUGCUGCGUCUAAACUAGAAAAUGACGGAUCGACAUUGAACAUUAGAGCAUUUUUGGGGCUUUUGGGCUUUUCUGGAAUGCAGCCCAGACAGCAGCUAUGCCAAGUUUGGAGCAUUUCAGUUGUCAGACCUGAAACCCAAGCCUAAGGGGUUUGAUACGUUUGUAAAAAUAUGAAAUGAUAAUUAAAGAAGAUCCUUGUUGUGUAAGUGUGCGUGUACGUUGCUUACCUUAACCAAAAAACAAAUGAUGCAAUUCCGCUGCCAAUAAUACAAAGAAGUGUCUUCAGAGCAGCUUUUGUAAUUUGUCUGUUAAAAUGAUCUCAUUACACUGUAACGUGCAGUAAUAUGUUCCAGACACUGCUCUGCCUUGUUUGCACGCACUAUAAAAUGUCUGCGUAGUUUCAUUACAAAACAGCACCGCAGAGGUCCAAGAUGUGUGUUUGCAACUGUCACAAUGUCAACACAAGCAUCUGCAGCCAAGUGCACGUCUUGCAUCCUUCUGAAUAAUACAAAAAGCCAAAAGAAACAUCUAAUACCAACCUGCUUCUGAUUCAUGGCUCCGAUCCCGAUCGAAGACUGAAUCAGUACAAUAUCCACGGACCUGGGACGGGGGAUGUUCCUUGUCAUUUUUUCUCAAUACAGCCAGGCCAGAGUCCCGGGAUCCGCAAUCUGUCUUUAAUCUUCCCCAGUCAGGGGCCAGCUAAGGGAAAGGAAGUGGGUGUAGGCAGCUGUGUCGGCUGCUGAGCCUAACACACUAACGCCCUGAAUCCGUUGCUCUUUUUCAUGGAACUGGAAAUGGAGAAAGAUCAAAAUGUGGAUGGUGUCUAGUGCCGGGUCCGGGUAUAAUGACUUACAGGUGGGGUUUGGAUUCCCCUGUGCUGCGGCCCACAGCUCCAGAUGAGCCUGAGUGCUUUCACAGGCAGCUAGCUGGAGACCCUUUCUGAUUUCAGAGUCCUUUUCCAUUUCAGUUGAACUGCUGCUGCCGGCGUUGACGUUGGUAUUAAACAUGUCAAGAUGCAAAAAUGUCUCUUUGCAUGUCGGAUCGUGGGGCUCUUUAACAAUGGAGGGUCUGUCGUAGAUGCAGAGAACUUAAAACAAUACGAUAUAACAGCCUAAAGCUUUUCAGUGCACCCAUGCUCAUUACUUUCAUGUCACAGGCGUGGAAUAAAGAGUAGGAGUGCGGACAUGUGCAUCAUGUUGGCUGCAGUUGUUAAUCUGGGAGGAAUGAGCGAGGCCGCCACCUUUACCUUCAAAAGGUCCUAAAAGGUGAAUUCUUCAAUGGCCCCGCGGGGUCACUUUAUUCCCGACAGAGCGAGAAGAAACAGUCAAAACGAGAGGGGGGGGGGAGGAGGAGGGCAGCAGACAGACAUAACCAGAGCAUACAACAAGGCGCUGACCACGAGCUAUACAGCCUUGAACCCUGUGGUGUACUUGGGAAAUGAGGUUGGCAUCCCACUCAAUUCCCCCUUCAACCAAAACCUCAGCUCAUAUGGUAAAGAUUGAUCAAAGUUCAAAGAGGAAACCCAAUUAGACACGGCCAUUUAUUUCAUUUGAUCACUGAAAAAUGUUGUGCAGGAAACACUUACAUCUACAGGUGCACAUUUCAAAUGUUACCUGCAACGCACCUUUUUCCCCUUUCAAAAUAAAUGCACGGUACGCUUUAUUUUAAUGAAUGUUAUUACCAUAGGCAUUCUAGUGCCUUUUCAAAGAGUCUACCCUUUGGAGGGUAUCAUUUUAAAGUAAUUUGAAGUAAUUUAGACCGAAAUAAGUCUAUCGUUUCACUCUGGUUUGUCCUAUAGGACACCCUAGAACUUUGAACUCUUGUGGACCCCGUUGUGCGUAUGUGGUUCAUGACAACGGAGCUCUAUAUGGCCGUGUCUCCGGACACAGAUACACUAAGAGGGGAGCUAGGUUCAGUUCACAGGGAAAGAAGAUGUCACCAUUAAGGAGAUACUGGUCAAAGUACAUUGUCAAUCCAGGGCCGUCACACGCAGUGACAUGCUGUACAUGAACACAACUAUUGUGAAUGUUCAAUGGUUAGAACUUUAGAUAUAAAAUUCAAAAAAAUUAUUGAAACGUUUUUGGUAUUUACUUCUUAAGAAUGUUAUUGAAUAUACGAAUAGAAAAUAUACAAGUAAAUUAUAUAUGAAAUGAAAUAUGAUGACAUGCUCUGAAAGAAACCUAAUAUUGCCAUUGAUUUCCCUUUUAUAUUUUCAAUGUUUUUGUGUACACAUGCAGUAUAAUGGGUGGUAUAAAAAAAAAAUAAUAUAUAUAUCAUAGACAAGACAAUACUCAUAACAAUCAAGAUAGGAUACAAAAUGUCAGUGAAAAAUAAAAGUUUGAAACAAAUUUGCGUGCUCAAUGUAUUGUGUCAACAACAAAAAGUUACUUUCUCCGACAUCAAGUCGUACAAAUGUGUUGAACUGCGGCGAAAUCACCAGCUGAUGCAGUUAAAUGAAUCAUGUCAUCACAUCGGCUUGUAUUGCAACAUCAGCAAUGUUUGCUUCUGUAGUUGUAACCGUAUCGAGCCGUGUCUGUUUCCACAAAGUAGGUUCUAGAACGCAGGCGUCUCACUUCACGUCUGGCAAACGGGCCGAUAAACACGGAGAUUAUGGGGUAUUCCCCUCAGAACAUUCCAUGUCACCACAAGAAUAAAGCGUACUGAGGGUAUCAGAAACCCUCCGAGCUCUGAGGAAACUAACACAGAUGCAGUACAUAAACCACAUGACUACGCGUGUAUUCAUGUUGGGUCGGACGUCGGAUGAAAUUACCAUGCUCACCCGGCAGGCUGGAUCUUUUUAUUGCCUGGAACUGAAGACCUAGAGCCGUGAUUCAUUACAUGGGGCUUAUGCAAGAUGAAAAAUUCACAUGAGCUUGACACAUCGUGAUAUCGCAGCCACGUAGGUGCAAGCAGCUCAAAACAUAUCAGCCACAAGGUAACGCAGUGUUUAACUAAAACAUCUGAUUCCUCUGACAUGUUUGCUUUUUCUUCCCCUGGUACACGAAAGUAGUGUUUAACUGUGCUUUCCUGCUCGAGUGCAGUACAUAUUUCCUGGAAACUCCUGUGCUGAGUGACAGGCUUGUGUCGUGCUCUUAAGAAGAUUCUGAUAUACUGCACUGGUGCUGAUGACGUCCCAGCAGAGGCCACCGCUCCGCUGACAUGCUCAUUGGGCCAGAAACAAACUGACAGACGAUGCCAAGUAUUCAGUUUCCGACAUCAGAGCGCAUAUCUCCCCUCAUCCUUGUUUCGCCACUACACCCUUUACUCGUCCUCGCCCUACCCCCCCCCCGCCAUCUCUUGUCUUGAGGAAAAGGGCUCUUGUAACCCAACAGGGAGACACUGAUCCCCGAGCACAGCAUCUGCUGACAAGCCAGCCUCCCAUUCAGCCUUGGCUGGAGGCAUGGGCCGCCGAGGAACCCGAUCCAGCUUGGCAGGGUCUCAACAAUCGCUUCCUGCCCCAUCCUGGGCCCACACAGCUAAGUACUCUUAAUUAAAGAGGUUAACUUGUCUAAGAUGUGACCGAAGGAGAAAAAAAAACACACACACACACACACACACACACACAAAGCCGUCGAACAAUCACAUCACUGUUUUCCUCUUCUCAAACAAAAGAGGUUUCCCUCUCUGACACGGCGACGAUGUGAGCUCCGAUACUUAAACAAUUACAUUAAAGACGAAGCAGGGUAAAGGAUCCUCUUUAAAUGUCUCUUAAUAACAGCUGACCACCCCUCUUGGUUCCAGAUUGAUCGGGGAGAAGAAGCAAAGAGGAGAGGGGAAUUGUUGGCGAACACUUGGACAGCUCCUCGCUCUCCCCGGUGCUCUCAAAGCCAACACAAACGGUAACCGGAGAGGAGCAAUUUCAUUAUUCUUUUUUUGCUUGGUUGUCAGCAUACAUAUUAAUGAAGACUUAGGACACUGCCAGAGACAUCUGUAUCGGCCUGCGGGGCUGCCAGCUAAACGCCGAAGAAAUUAGAAAUGCUAAUUUAUACCCAGAGAUACAAUAUAAGAGAUUCUCCUCUGUUGUUUUGGGCAUCAGAGCUGUAUGAGCUUCCAUUGUCGGGAGGCAGCCCUGCGGAACAGGCUAUUCACUGCAGAUCGACCAGAUUGCAAAUGACAGACUGUGUACAACAGGCCUGUUGUGUCUCCACUGCAAAACAUACAAAGCUCAUUUGAUUCAGGAGCGCUGCCUUCCCACUUCCCAUGUUACUGUCACUGUACACAAUACGUGUAAAAAAAAAAAAUCCAGUUUCCUUGGUGUCUUGGCUUACAGUUUGAAUUCCGAGAUGUAAAGGAUAUGAUACAAAUAGGAAAUUCCGGCACGUAAAUGCCUUUUGUUGAGGAAAAACCUAUUUCGCACAAACAUUUUUUUGUUGGAAACUGUAAUGAAGACGUGUAGUAUGGCGCAGCAGAUACGUCUACAACCCCACAAUGCUUUAUAACUGCAAUAUUCUAUUUUUUCAGUUCCACUAUUAUUCCUCUAAUGUAUCCUAGUGCUCAUCAUUGCUCCAACAACCAUCUCCCCACAGAGAUGAUUACAGUUUUAUCUUUUCCUAUUUUAUCUUAAAAGCUUCCCCGUAAUUGCAUCAGAUAUCAUAAGGGAACCUUUUAAUCCCUUUAAGUCAUGCUUGUGUAUUUAAGCAAAGGCGCAUUAAACCCAACACAAUGUGACAAAGAUAAACCUCUCUCGGAGUGUCUAUCGAGAGCUUUUCCUAUAAAGUCCGGGAAGAUCCUCAUCAAUAAAAAUGAUGCCGUUUCUCAUUUGUGUUACAGUAUUGAUCAGCGCAGGCUGACUUUAAUGGAGCCUCUACGGAUUCAGACGCACACUGCAGCCGGUCGAGCUGUCAGGUCCAACAUAUCAGAUUUAACUGACAAAUUUUCAUUAGCCCAGUCAAAACACAUCUGGCUGUAUAGUGCGUCCUGAGGGGGCAAGGGGGCACUCUUUUUGUUAUCAUUAGCUGUCGGGACACAACCCAUCUUUGGCUCCCGCUAAGAGGCGGGAGCCAAAUUUUCUAGAGCAAAAACAGCUGUGAAUAAUUCCUAUUUCCAUGGUGGGAUUCAAGUUCAUCCAGUGGGGCGAAAAAAAAAAUGUCGGUGUGCUUUAAAUUAAGGUCCACAGGAGGCCCUAUAGCUUUAAUGAAAAGACCUUGAACUUCCUGGUGUGAUGCCAGGACGCAGUGCCAUGGCUUGUGUUCAGAAUCACAUUGGGAAUGCUUGAUAAUGAAUCGGUAUGUGCAGCUUGCUGCAUGCCAAACUAGCUCUGGUGUAUGUAAAGUGUUCACUCUGAGGUGUACCUAAGAUAUACAUCUUCUAUUCAUCUACUUUAUAACGUGAACGAUGCAAGCUACUGCCGGAAAGCGUUUGCAACAAAUGUGACUCUAUAUUAACCUCUUCCAUUAAAGUUAUUAUUUCACCACAUUAUCUUAAUGCAACUUAAAAAUAUAGAAUAUAUAUAUAAAAUAUAUCUUCUACAGUGCAUUAUACAUAGAGCUUAUAGCAUGAAUUUGCAAUUCAUUUAUCCAACUGUUAAUCAAAUAAACCAUUUGCCUCGCAGCCCACCCAUUGGACAGUCUGAAGACUUGGAAUAAACUUCAUACUACAGUAUUUUACAUCACGCUAGUAUUAGUAUGUCAUUAGGCCAUUUUGGACAGAGCCAUGACGUUCUGCUUCCUGUUCUUUACCUUCCAGGGAUCAACGUGCAGAAGAGAUGCUGAUGGCCGCGCCAACAUGCGGCAGCACAGCUCAUUAGUGUACAUGUGUAGCUCACAACGGGAUUUCGGUCUGCUUUUCCACAGAAGCACAUUAGUCUCUGCCAACCAGUGAUGAAGCUCAUUGAUCCGAUGUUUUGUCCUGCAGGGCUGAGAAACGCCAGGCUGGUAGCUCGAAGCGGAGGGCUCCGGCUGAUACAGACGCUUCACGCACCCUCCAUCGAGCAUCCUGCCUCGCUGUCUCCCCAGUCCCACUGUACAGUCAAAUAGUGAGCCGUGAUUGCUGUCUUUUUCAGAGACAGCCCGUACAAGACGCCUGGACCCCGAAUUGAGUCUGCAUGUAAAAACUCAUUACUGCUGGGUGAUGGAUGAAGCCCUUUUUUUUGUAGCGUGCAGCUGUAAUAAACGAUCAAUGGGGAAGCAUGUGCAGCACAAAUCAUCCUGUACACAAUGGCUUUACGGGCAUCAAUAUUCUAUAUGAGCGUUUCAGCUCUCAGGGUCAAUAUUAAUAGACCUGUGCACGGAUUGGAGAUCCUCAGGGGCAAAUUCACAAAGAGUGGAUGGCAACGUGACUUGUGCAUCAUUUGCAACCGCUACCUGUCUUGUCUCAAGGUCCAAUUAACCAUCUGCAUCUGAUUGUAACUUUGCCAGCUGUGGGCAGUGGGUUGAAUCAGGUCGGACUCAAGCCAUUUAUAAUGACUUCUUUCAUUGUGCCCAUAGCACAAAUAUAGCCCUGAUAAAUUAGUAGUCAUACUAAUUAAUUAAAAUUCCAAGAGUUUUUUGAGACAGAGACUUUUUUGCAGAAAUCCCAUGGUGCGUCUCCCAAUUAAGGAGCACUGCUGCAGGAUUUGAUUGAUCAUUUGAAUCUUGUUUCUUCUCAUGUUUUUUCAAACUUGACCUGUAGGAGAGCUUUACACAUAUUUUCAUUCAUUUCACAGCAGUGUCUGCGUCCUAAAAUAAAUAAAGUUGAUGGGAGACCCUUUAUGAGCUUGAGUUACCAUCAAAAUGAUUUCACCGUAAUUGCGUGAAAUUAUUAGUGCUGAUCUUUGUUAAGUGGGCUGCUAGUUAGUUAGUUAGUAAAAUUGUCUGCCUACUUAUCCGUAUGAAUUCGGUAGCCCAGAUACAUUUUGAAUUAAGAAGUCACAUUUAUUUUAAUUAAGUGAAAAGAAAUGAAACACUUGCAAUUCCGAACAAACACGUUAAAAUGAAGUGGUUCUAUUUGCCCGAUCCGUCUAUCAGAGGUGAGCCGGCGGGAAUAACUCAAGAAAGCAUGAGCCUUGUGGUUAUAUUAGGAAGUGAGGUUUAAAUCCCCGGGUGCAUGUGAUGGGUCAAAGUUAAUGAGGUGGGGUCCAUUGUGGGGUCACAUGCUCAAACCUAAAGGGAGGCGUGCUCCAUUGCACUAAUCAUCCCAAUGAUGUUAGACAGCAGUAGACAACUGGAAAGCAGACAGAUUUUUGGUUGAGGAUCUGCAGCACAUUUUAUUUGAUGUAUUCAAUGAACAAGAAAGGGCCCGCUGAACUUCAGAAGGUCACAGAAAAAAACUGCAAACCGGUCCUGAGUAGAUUAUAUCUGGGAUCAGAAAACGGUUAAUAAAACUGCUGAUUAGGAUAUUAAUGGACAGCAGCCACUGUUCAUUUAACAACUGAUGGACAGUGGCAAACUGCAAUAGAAGAUUCUGCUCCUAAAUUGGGCAAAUAAGUAAUAAAACGCGUUAAUGAAAGAAGUUAAUGUGAAGAAGUUAAAACUAAUUUGUAGUAAUUAAGUCUUUGCUUGUACCCGGAAAGUUACAACGGGGUUUUUGCCCUGUGAAGUGUGUGUGUGUGUGUUAAAGGAAGAACACGGGGCACAAAACUGUAACAUUUCCGCUGAUCAACUCAUUCUGGGGAAAACUAUGGAAAGAAAGACUAUUGUGUAUUAUUUUAAUGGACUGAGGUUUGUUUGAGUCUUAACUCCUCAUGAAGGUCAGCGCAGAGCAAAAGGACCCGGGCAGUGAACGCCUGAUCAUUUCUUUGCUUCAACCGAGACUGAAGACGGCCCCGCCCGGGGCCCCGAGACAACAUUGACAAUGCUUUGGUACCGGUGACUUUUUUUCGAGCUUGGUGCCUCUUUGUUUUGCUUUCAGUAAACUCUGUUUCCUACCGGCCGACCCGAGCAGCCUGCAAUAACAACAACGGCAGCGAAUGCCUACAUCCAGUGUGACAAACCUUUCCUGAGAGUGUGACAAACGGGACAUUUAGCAAUGUGGGUGGCAAUUUUUAUGCCCUCACAGUUAACCAUGUAAGUACAAACUCUGGUCGCCAUGGUGACCUCGAGCUCAAAUGUUCCCACCUACGUGAAGCGAAUCGAUGGGCUAAAGAGAGAAGCGAUGGUAUUGUACGGAUCGUGCAGCCAACGUACAUCUGGCGACCAGCUGGCUGCAGAUCUGCAUUCUCUGCACAUGCAUGAGAGGAUAUAGUUAACAAACUGCAUUGGAGAGAGACAUCAACUCAUCUCGUCCUGAAGAUACCAUGCCUGCCCGGGUGGGACAAUGUCAGCUUUUUGUAGCGCUGUUAAAGUGUUUGCUUGUUUUGUGUAUUUAAUGCAGAUUUAAAGUAUAACACGUGAAGAGAUUCGGAUACCGACAAGGGGUUAAAAGUUAAUAAUUAAUAAGCCUGAGUAACUGUCGAUUACAAUCUCAAAAUCAAUCAGAAGCCAAACGGGCCGAGGAGGCUCCCGCUGUGGCCCGUAUCUCCCCCGAUGUGUAAUCAGGUGUGAGGCGAGCCGCUCACAAAGCGACCGGAGCAAAUCACAGUUUACGAGGCGUCUCCUACUUUCAUCUGCCUCUUAAACCAUAAAGAGUGCCAGGUGUGCACUCUGUAAGAGGUACACCAGCAGAACGCUUUUUGACCAAUUUGAAGAAAUUCCCACGAGGCGUCCUCGAGAUAUUCCAUUCGCUGGAAUGAGCCGCACUGUUAUUAGAGGGACAGCUUCCCGCAAAAUCAAGAACUCACAUUUUCCCUCUUACCUGUAGUGCUCUUUAUCGAUGUAGAUUAGUCUGGUGCGAGUUGCUGUGUCCAUCUUCUCUUGAAUAUCGUGGUUCUAUUUGGAUCUUGGCUUGUGCUUAAAGCGUCAAACACAUCAAAAAUUCCCCUGUCGGAGUGACUCACCUGCACCUUCACCCUACAGCGAGGCUUAAUGAACACGUUGUUGGGUAAAUUUCAACCCGUGAAAUAAGAUUAUCAGAGGAAAUGAGGUCAUGAUAAUGUUCCCAUUGCUUUUAAUCAUCACCACCUUUAACACAAGACAGACUAAACAAUAAAAACCUUUGUAUAUACAAAUAUCAUGCUCUCUUGAAGCCCAAACAAAAGGCAGUUCUGUUUACAGCUGAUACAAUUUUGUGUUUAGAAAGAAUGGAGGUGGAGUAAACACAAAGUUGACAUAUAAUAAAACAUAUGGCAAUACAGAGUACAGCCAAUAAGCUUUAAUGUGCACCACAGUCUAGAGCCGUGGUUCCCAAAGCUUUUCUGUCAGGGGCCCCUUUGGGGAUAUAGAGACAUUGUAAGAACCCCCGACCGCACUCUGCACUCUUCAUCAAUAAUAUGAUCCAUUAUUUUUCAUUCCCAAUGUAGGAACAGCAGCGUUUGUGGAGGGGUUUUUUCCGGCCAAAUUCUAUUCUUCAGGUCCUGAUCUGAUCAGUUAUCAAAAGGACAGCUCGGCGUGAUGCCUUGAGCGCAGUCUGUGCCAGACUGCUUAUAUCCUCUCUUGCACUCCUGCUGCCUCGACCGCUCUGUUGCUUUUGAGGUCAAAGUACAUUUCCGUGGGCCAAAAAAAUCUUUUAGGAUUAAAUGCAUUCACUUAUGCUAAACAAAAGUGCAUCUGUUAAGGGACUCAGUCUGACAAGAAUAAAACAGUUUUAAUCAAAACAGACUGAACGGUGUAUUGGUAUACAAAGAAAAUACUAAUAUAUGCUAAAGCAUUGUACAAUACACACAUACCUCCACAUGUAGAAGGACACUUUUACACACAUAAUGCCGGUCAGCUAGAAACCUGAAUUGAAGGCGAAGGUACACAAUGGGUUCAUUGAUUUGCUUCAGACGAGGCACUCGAAAUGAAUAUGAUGAAUGCUAAGAGAUACACAAGAGGAAUGCAUAUGGCUCAGUGCAACCGGUCCUUCAAAUCAAUCUCAUGCUUACACAAUGAUGUUUCCACCGAUAAGUGUACAGUACGGGUCAAAAAACAACACCUUGGUGCUUCUCCAAUAAAACUUUAAUUAUAUAAAAACCUAAUCUGUCAUAAUCAGUUAAAUUUCAUGAGUUUUAUUUAAGUAAUAUUUUUUUACUUUUCUGUUAAGUCACUAUCUCGGGCCAAAUGAGGUAAGCCAAUAGUGACCAAGCUUAUGGAAGCCCUUACAUUAGCAGUAUUCCUCUCUCGGUGUCUGCGAUCAAAACGCACUUUUUGGAUGUUUGGGAUGUGAGAUGAAUUAGUAUUCAAUUUAUUUUAAAUGUAAUUAUUUGCCGCCUCUUCUAAACAAUUAAUAAUAUAUAAGGAGAUGAUAUAAGGAGGCCUUUUCGUUCUGUCUAGUCAUGGUAUGCCCUUAUUAGUCACUUCAUAUAUAGUGCACAGUUCUUCUUAAGUUAUUCCAAUGAAUUAUCUGUGUCUUCUGGGACCAAUGUAAAAUACAUCCCUUCCCUUCUUGAUUCUUGAUUUACCCUUGAUCCAGUGAAAACCAUUGAAGCACAUAAUAUGACUUAUUAUUGGGUACAUUACCUUGUUACUUGGUAUUAAAAAAACAUUUUCUUAUUAUACCUUGCUGUUUGUCAAAUCGCAACCACAGAAAAUGUUACUAAGAAUACAUUUUGUUCAGUAUCGUGAGAAUCUUAGAAUCUUAGAAGGAAGUAAAACUUCCAAAAGCGAUAUGGUUUGUUUGAAAAGGGGAGGCACGUCCUGCCACCAAGUCAAGGCUCAAGCAAACAGCUAAAGCUCUCUCACCCUGGACCAGAUCUCUGGCCUUACAUCUUAAAUUGUGUCUGUGUAUGUAUGUGUGUGUGUGUGUGUGUGUGUGUGUGUGUGUGUGUGUGUGUGUGUGUGUGUGUGUGUGUGUGUGUGUGUGUGUGUGUGUGUGUGUUGGUAAAGGGAGGUGAGGAGUGUCUGUAUGAAGUUACUAUUCAAACAUACUGUACACAUGCAUAGAAUGUCCCCCAUAAACACAUGUGUGAGAAAGGACGGUGUCUGCUGAAAGUCUCGCAAUAAACAAACAUUGGCGUCUUCUUUAUGUCUUUCAAAGUGAGAUACCCACGGGCCUAAAACUAAAUACUUGUUAUUGUUCUAAUAACACUUCCCUCGCUGCAGCCAAGAGGCAAUUUUCUUUUAACUCUUUAUCUCCGAAUUUGUCAAUAGGCACUGAAUAAAAACACAAUUCGUAACUAGAAAUAAAUUACAAUAGAAAAGACACGAGUGUUGCUCAAUGUCAUGAUUACGUUUUCACUCCUCAAAAGGUAUUUGUAUCCGAUUUAACUUAAAAGUUUCAUUUUAAACAACACUAUACGGUCCUGAUUCCAAUAUGUAUUUCUAGCGCAUAUAAUCUAUGUUCAAAGAAUAGUUUGUGAGUGGUUCAGUAUUUAUUAAUAUGUAUAUGUACAUAUAUUUUCCACUUAAUGCUUGAUUUAUAUUCAUAGUGGAUGGAUGUCUUCGCUUCAAAGGGUUGUAAGAUGUUUGGCCAAUGUGUCUGCUGAUGAACCUAAACAAAAGCACUAGCAGAAAGAACAUUCUAUGGCGUAAAGAGUUUAUACAGUCAUAAAUAUUUAAGGGGGAAUAUCUGUGGAAAUCAAUAUCAAUAUACAGCAUUUCAAUGCUCACAAAUAUUUCAGGUAGUUGAUGUGUUAUAAAAAGACAACAACGUUUUCCGAUGAAGAGAGAGGAGUGCAUCCUGCCGGAAUCCAUAACAUUGUUUUUAAAUAAUGUCAUUCUCCUUUAGUUUAAAUCAAAUGGACAGGGAUUUUAAACAGCUUGAGCUAAGCUGUAUAGAGAGCUGUAAAUUACCCGCCUGCCAGAAAUCAUGUCCUCAGUAAAUGUGAGAACUGCCUUUAUUGUUCUUCCUAUAAUCACUCAAACUCUGUUCACUUUGUCAAUUAUGUAUGUAUGUAUGUAUGUAUGUAUGUAUGUAUGUAUAUGUAUGUAUGUAUGUAUGUAUAUGUAUGUAUGUGUAUAUUAGACCAUGCACAUGUGAAACAUACAAUCCCACCCAAGAAUGCAUGCACACACACACACACACACACACACACUGACACGCUCUCCCACUCAGUCUUCCACUGCAAAGGUCAAAGGUCUAUAUCAGCUUGUCAUUCCCUCCAAUGCAGGGUGGUGUUUGUGUGUGUGUGUGUGUGUGUGUGUGUGUGUGUGUGUGUGUGUGUGUGUGUCAGGGGGGGAUAUAAUACCCCAGGUGCUCUCCAGAAGGGAAGAUCAAAAUCGGCUGCUUGCUUGCUCUCCAUUGGGGCUCUGAAUCUGCCAAACAGGAGAGAGGUUGACCCCGACAACCUGCGUCCCGCUCCGUGUUUAAUGGCGGAGACAAAGAGCCACAUGUGGCAGAGGAGGCUUGCUGGAAUUCGUCUUAUUUAAAUUUGCACAUCAUAAGCCUACGUAAGCACGUGGCCAGCUGAAGCUCGAUAUGUUCAUUUAGCGUCUAAUCAUAAGCAGCUAGAAGUAAGUAAGUAAAUGUACUUCAUUUUUUCACAUCAAUCACUGUAAAUACAAAAAACAGAACCCCCCCCCCCCUUUAGAGCUACCCUAUGUGUGAUGCAGUGAUUCUGAAUUCAUAUUGCAAUAUAUGACCUAGUAUACGGCCUGGAAAUUACGCUGACACCCCCGGGCAGAUUUGUUGUGAACAAUUUUGUGAUGAACACGGGACGAGCUGCUGGAGGCAACAGUUUUUUUGUGGGCAGCUGAACAAUGACAAAGGCCUUUUUGCCCCAUUGGUAAGAGAUAAAAUCAUGUUGUUUUCACAGUUCCAGAUACGUAUGUGGCAAGGCAGGUAAAAGGGCGGCCCAGUAUCAGGACCCGGUUAAGCUAAAAGCUCACCUGUGCCUUUCGUCCGGUUGAUUAACACACCUGAGGCCAGCUGAUUGGGUAAGCCCUGCUUCAUUCUACCUGCCGAAAACAGGAUCCUAACACUCAAUGUCUUUUAGUCCAUCACAUUAAACUAAUACAUUGUUGAUCAGUCUUGCUUGCCGAGAGGCAAUUACCUCGAUCACCUGCUCCAACUGGGGGAAGAGUCCGUGAGCAAUAUGAAAUGUUUGAAAGACUCUUAACUUUUUCACUUACCUAUUAUAUGGUAAGCUUUUUAAUAAUUCAACUGCAUGGGCCUUUUUAUGCUUGGUUUUCUUGUGGGGCUUUCUGCUGUGUUGAACUGAGUGACCCAUCGUACAUGCGUUUCUUGUAUCGUGGUGGUUUUGAGUCUUAAUUGCUGUGAUUUGAUUUGUUUGCUGUGAUUUGAAGUGUUGCUCUGUUAUAUUUUGUGACCAUUUGCUUUCCCGAUUAGUCUCACAUGGUCUAUUUUCUUUGUUUGUUGUUUAAAUACUGUUCACUUAAUACAUCAGUCUUUUUAUUGGGACUCAUUUGAAGUUCAUUUAUUAAACAGUUCUCUCUGGCUCCAGUUUACUCUGGCUCAUGUGCUUAGAAUAUUACCAGGUCGCACAUAAAUAAACGUCCCUGUUGGCAACACAUUUCCGUGGUCACAUUGGAAUACUGCUCCCAGUCCUAUAGGUCAAAUAGACAAUUGAAACCGUAUUAGACGGCGUGACCGGUAGGCCGCUGUGCGCGCGAGUUGGGAGUGUGUGGGUGUGUGUGUCUCCGGGCAGCGCCGGCUUUGAUUAGAGCCUGUAGGGUAAAAUGAGAGGCAGCUGAAGGCAGCGCUGUGGCUGCUUGGAGGCUGCCGACAAAUGCAAGAAGAUUUUUAUCAAGCACACAUGGGUGGUGGUGCUGCGGCAUUUAUGUUUCACACACAGGCACAAAAAUGCAGAGAAACUGAGCAUUUUUCGACAAAAUCGUACAAACAAAAUAAACAUGGAGGGGGGGGGGGAUAAACAGACAACAGUGUUUGCGGCUGAAUCCGAGGCUGAGCUGGUGGAGCACAAACGACAAGGAAUAAAAAAACAGCAGUAUGGUGAAACUCUUGUCAAGAUACUAUCUCCGACUUCCCCCAUAAUGGUGUUUAGCCAGCAGUAAUAUGUUAUGGUUUCAUUGUGACUCUAAUCUGAUAAGGCUUUAUGGCUCCUCCAGCUAUUAGCCUCAUCCAUUGUCAUUUGAGGUGGCAGGAUGGCGGCCCGUGGCACUGACCUCGCAAAGAUCCCGCAUUCUCUCGCGGCCUGUGGAUUUAGUUAGGAGUUACGCCCGUUUCUGACAUCAGAAUUUAUCUAAAGACCGUGUGGGCGGUGGAGAGGGGAGGGGGUGACUAAUGGUUGGAUGUGGCUGCCGCUCGCAUGAGGGAGGACGCGUUGAGGUUCCACUGCGUUUUGUCUCCCCCAAGAGGCAGCAGAGCAACCUGCGCUGGACCUCCCCCUGUGCGUCUUCUUCCCCUCUGCCUCCCUCCGUUUCAUCCCACGUCUCCAAUCCCAAACAGACACCACAUGUGGGGGGGCGACGACCCGUCCUGCGUUUUGAAGUACCUCGUGUCUUGUACGAGGCUUUCGGGAACAUGGUGUGCUUUGCGUUAGGGGCCUGCACUUUUCAGGUAAAAUUGAAUUGUACAAUAUGUGUUUUUUUCCCAAAGGGGUUCAGACUACAAUUAUUUCUUUUGUUAAAUUCCAUCCACGUGGUUUAGAUUCAUGCCUUCUCUGCUUGUUCACGCUACAGCAACGCCGUGAAAUCUGCGAAUAGACACAUCUCCUCGGUGAGUGGCUCCCCGUGACCCGAGCCUUUUAGUUGAUGAUGAAUUGAAAAUAAGAGUCCGGAGGAUUGCAUCUCUUAAGCUACAGUAAGAUGGCUUUCAUUAAGCUGCUAAGAGAUGUACGUCCUCUCCCUGUACUUUCACGGCUGAAUGAACGCGGGGCUGAACGUUUGCUCCCGCAUGUUAUUCCCUCACAGAUAUUAAUAAGCGUUUAGAUCAUGUUUCUCCUCGGUAUUUACGGGUGGGAACUAUGCCUCCUAUAACUCCCUCCCUCCACCCGUCCACCUCUCCCUGGUCUAGAUUAACUGGAAACAUGUUUCCACCAUUGAUAAGUAUCCGAGAGGACAGGCCACAAGAUUACUUUGGAUCUUUAGAACUGCUUUUUUUUUAUUUUUCAUUUUGGACUGAAGAUAAGAGGGUUGAACAAACACUCGGAACCCACAGCCGCCCCGUUGCCGACAGGAGGUCACAUGCUUCUGGUACGCCACCGUGGGGGGGGGGGAGGGGAGACUCACCCGCAGAAAGACAAACCUUUCAGAUUGAUUUGAUAUUCCUUAACCUGAUCCGCGCAGAAAACAUUUUACUGGUUUGACAUUUGACACGACAGGUUUCUACUAGCUUGAAGAGAAAUAUAAUACUACGUUCUGCUGAUGGAUGUCAGGGAUGCAUCAAAUGAUUAAAGGUAAACUGGCAUGUAGAACACAUUUAAUAAGGCUGUGAAUGCUAAAAAAUGUUCCGUGGUGCUUACUGAAAUAAUACGCGGCUGUGAUUGACCAUGCUGUAAAUCUGGAGCACACUGCAAAUUGGCAGGUAAAUAAAGGAGUAUUUGUUUGUACUUUGAAACGUUUUUAAGAAUCUUCUAGUUUUGAUGAUUUCAUGAACACUUUAGGGCGAAGACCAGAGGUGAGAUGUCUUUUUUUUGGGGAGGGGGGGGGGGGUGUAACCAUGUUGUCUAUGCAAUGUCAGAAUUGCUUAGAGACUUAAAAACUAUAAAUAUCAAAAUAACUUGUUCACAAUCCUGUGAACAAGUUAUUUUAUUGCAUAUAUUUAGUCUGCCUAAUCCUGUAUUUUGCAGUUUUAGUUCUGGGCAUUUUAGUCUUUAUCAAAGACGAGCAUAACCUUUUUAGUGUAGUUCUAGGCUGAGGAUUGUAAUUUAUAUUGUAAAUAUAUUUACAGCUAAUUAAAUCUUUCCAGUUCGGUUUCCAUCCCAUUCAAAUCACAGACAAACUUAUUUAGUCAUAGUUUUUGUGAACAAAAACCGCUUGAAUUUUUUUUUAUCAUUCACUUUCACCAUGUUGUGCAAGAUCAACAAAAGUUUUCAAUAUGAUUUAUCUCAAUACCUCGAGUAGUGCUACAGCGAUGAUUAUAUAGAUCUCAACUACGGGUUAGAUUUUGUACGGGAGAUACUCAUAAACAUGUUAUCACCCUGUUGUACGCCGAAGCAUUACAUUGUUAAUCUGCCAUGCCGGUCCAGGUGUGGAGGCGGUGGGUGUUCAGCUGUUUUGCGUCACAGAUAAUGAGACGCUCCCCCUGACCCCGGCAGUCGAAGUUGAUCGAUGAGAGCCCCCCCCACGCCCCCAAAACCCUAUCUGGUGUUGGGUUUUGCAUUAUGGCUCAGCAUCUGGAGGAAAGAUCUGGGCUUUUGGAUGAGAACGUGACCGGACUCUAUUGCUUGGUUCAUUACUGCCAAGCCACCAAAGUUGCUCACUUCCUCCACAAGUUUCCGUCAGGGGAAAAACAGCCUCUGAUGUCAGACACGGCUUGUUUUUUGUGAUGUAUGAGGACUUUAAAUGGAAGAAUUUACUACUUGUGUUUAUUUAUUCAUUGCAACCAUUAGGUUUGAGAAGAUAACAUCACAUUUUAUGUUGGCGUCAGGCAGACAUGGGACAUAAAUUGUACCUCAUCAUAUCUGUCGAGGCCUUUCCUGUGUUUGAGGCCCAGGAUGACUCCCUACUGAUUUAAAUCUGUUCUUUUCAGGUUUUCAGAGCAAGGGUUUUGGUAAAAAAAGGACUAUUAGCGGGAUGUUGGUGUCAGCCUCCUCUCUUCCGCCUCAGCGCUCUGAAACACAGGCAGGAUAAUGACAAUCAAUGCUCUCUCAGCACAGCCGCCAGCUCGGCCUGCUCCACAGUAACGGCAGCGUUGAUACGAAAUGGCCGGCAAUUUAGUUUAUUCGACCGGAUAUACCAUAUUUCCAGAAUAAAAUGUGUGGGGAAAUGAUUAACAAUACAUCCGUGACACUGUUAGCCGUGGUCCACAGCUCACUGGGCUUAUCAGUAAUUUGCUUCCUUGGUUCGGCAGCAUGUGUGAUCACCAGAUCCAUUCUGCAUCCGCUCUGCACACUGGCAAAACUAAAGGCCCUCUUGGCUGAGUUUUCCAAAGUUGCCUCAGCUCCUUUUUUGCUAUAAACCUAAUUUGUUGUCGUCCCUUGUUAAAGUCCAAAUAAAACACUGAUUAUUUUGUUCUUGGAAAAAUAAAGUAGCUUGCUGUGGAGGAUACUGGAUCUGGGCAUGAGUCAUAAAAACAGUUCUGCAUGUGAUUAAGGUUUUAUACGCCUUGUGUGUUUUGCUGAUAACGGUUAUGUGCGUAUGUGCCCUUGAAUACCCUUGUAAAAUGUUGUUUUUUUCUCUAGGUUGUCUUUUGUUUUACUACAACAACUUACCUUUUAAUAUAUUGUUUAUAACCACUGACCACAACAUCCAGUGUCCACUACAGAUUCAAAUUUGGCCGUCAGCAGGACACCUGAAGAGCGUCUUGGUGGUCAGUUAAAUCAACUCUCAUGAUAUUUAAGGAUCAUACUAAUCGUUUCGUAACUUGCUGCCAAUUAUCCUACAAAUUACAUGCAUUUAUGCACAAAUGCCAACAGUUGUUCAAAGCAUUCCGUGUGCCUAAAAUCAUUGUAAAACAUCAUAUUCAUGUCUUACCUGUAUGAAAUGUUCAAUUUUACAAUGGAACACACUGGGGUACUCUUUGGAAAACAAGUCGUAAUGUAUGCAAUCUGAAACACUGGGGACAUUAUUAUAAGAGAUGCAGCUCACACACCUUUCCGAGAAAUGCAUCAUGCAGUGGUUUGAAUACAUACACACACAUAGUAUUUAUAGACUCACCUCACCUCAUUAAUCUUCUGUCAUCCGGCUUAGAAGAAUCCAUUAGAGCUAAUUACAGAAAGAAAAAAAGAAAUCAUCUUUAUAAAGAAUAUCUAACCGUACACAACCAUAUGAGCCAAAUAUUCAUUCUAUUAGGACUGUAAACACGGCAUCAUAGUGAGAAAAAUAUAUCUCUUCCUGAUCCAAGCCAAUUAUCUAAUCAUCAAAAAAACAAAUGUUUUUUAGUUAUAUCAUAUAUUAGAUGAGAAACCAACGAUGACUGUUGUACUUGCUGUCUCCGCUCCCACCCACCCAUCAAUCACAGGGGCUUAAUGUUUAAAAAAAGGCACCUGUUCCUCGAUGGGGCCCCCCCACCGCAUAAUGAAACAUCCACAUGUUCUACUAAUUUGCUUUCAUUGCGCUACCUAAAUGGGCUCACGCCUUACUGUUGCGUGAGAGAUAAUAAACACUGAAUGGAAAUAGGGGACCACGGCAGAAGCAGUGCCAUUACUCUCCUUCCCCUCUCCCACUCACCCUCUGUCUCCCUUGUUUCUUCAAUCCUGGCCACAUAGAUGCUUUUUCCAAUUAGGCCCAUAGAGUGGGGGAGUCUAAUAUAUAUUCAUAGCUGGUAUGAAUGACAGAGGAGUGAUGAUAAUGAUCACGAUAUGAGCUGAGGAAACCAAUUACAGUCGCCGCUACCGUAAAUAGUAAUUGCAAAGAAAUGGUCUUCGUUACAAAGGGAAACCACAAAACACUCACAACACGGAUGCCAUUCAGCAUUUUUUUUUUUUUUUUUUAAUAAAGGUACUGUUUGCCAACUUUCCCCAGCAAGCCGUUCAAUAAGCACUUCAAAUGAGUGGCCGUGCAGAUGUGAUAUUGCAUUAAAUCACUGAUCAGUCUUUUAGUGUUUUCUCUAAAAUUAACUUCCUCUCCAUGCUUUUAAACGGUGUGAAAGCAGUAACGGGAAGCAGAGUCAAUUACUCAAGUUACUAUAUUUUAGUAAUUACUUUAUUCCGAAGAUAAUUUGGAUAAUUUAUGCACUUCCCUUACUUUGGCACACUAAACGCACAAUGCGUACACAGCUGAAUGCGUGUGUGUGUGUGUGUGUGUGGUAGUGGGCGGAGGGAGGGUGGGGGCAGAGAGAGUGUGGAGUUUGGAGGAUGUGAUUUAUAGUGGUCUGCAGGUUAUAACUCAUUUUCAAACUGAAUUUCCUGCCUGUGUGAUUGCAUCCUUCCGUAAUGCCCUUGACAGAAUGGAAAGCACAGCCGAUGUUCCGUGUCUAAAGACGGACAUUUUUGGGUGUGACUUUUUGAAUCUGCGCUUAUAAAUUACCCCCUUACGAGGCAAGUCUGUUGUCCCAUGAAGACAUACCGAAUCCCGCUCAUGGCUGUGAGGAAAAUGUGGGCAAAUGAUUUGAGGCUAUUACUGGGUAUCAUGCCAGAAAAAAAUUAUUUAUGGAUCAAAAAUGGGACUGGAAGGCGGUCCAAAGAAUCGGAGGGUGGGGACGGCCAGUAGUUUUGACUUUAAAACAGUCUUACAAUGUCUCACAGAUACAACCUCUGUUAAAUUGCAGAGGAAUAAAAUAGUAAUUUUGAUGUUACACAUGGAAAACCAUUUCCUCCGAACUCUCCCAGAGGUCAGAAUUUGAGCUGUUACACCUCACAAAUGGUACCGGGAACCUUGCUAGCCGGGUGAUUUCAUUUGUGCUGAUUAAAAGCUAAUAUAAUAUUUAUAAAUAAAGCCGCCCGAUGCCCUCGGCUGUGUGAUAUCCACAGGAGAGUGAGAAAUAUUUGCCAGAGAAGAGCUUGGGUGCGUGCAUGUGUAGUUCCGUGUGCACGCUGUGUGCAUAAACAGUACAGCAUAGAAUAUAAAAUCUCUUAAAUUAGGUAAGCAAGAAAAAAUAAGGGUCUCACCAGAAGCAUUGUGUCCUCGACCUCGUAGCCAUUAAAUGGUUUUAAUGAAUGCAGGUCAAAUCCUGCACUUAAAUUGGAUGUCUUUCAUAUAAUAACACUGCCACAGCCUUACAAGCGGCUACUUUGUGUGUGCGGUUGUGUCUAGCGUUGAUCAUCUGACGCCAUUACUGUUUUUUUGUUUGACGUUUGAGCUCCUGUUUUCAUUUCAAUUACACACAAACACAAGGAUAAGGCCACCCAAUGCAAAGAGACUAUGGCACCCCAUGAAUCAGCAGUAUGUCUAAUUUCUCAGCACAUUACAGAGAGUGUGGCCUUGUAAGAGUCCAAAUGAAACGCGUAAUGCCCCAUCAUUGAUUUUUCCAUCCCUGAAAUUGUACUCCAUUUAUUGCCCUGUCUACUACUUUUUUUUUCGGGAAAAAAAGCAAAUAGGGUGAAAAGUCAAGAGACGGAAAGAACGCAACAGGAAGGCAGCAUUUGCACAGCACCAGCAGUUGGAUACAAAAUAAGGAAGACAAACCGCUGUGGGGGACAAACACACACACACAGAGAGAGAUGAGUUGGUCCCGUCUUUGUAAUAAGAUAUGCUCACUUCCUCCGAUGCAUCCCAAACAGCAAGACCUGCCAAUCAUCCUCCCUCCACUUGAAAAGCCUCUGGAACAAAUAACUGCAGGGGGGGGGCGGCCAGCUCAUCCGAGUCGUUAUCAUAAACGUUCGGGCAAGAGCACUACAUCUCAGUGUAAUAAGUCCGCGAUAUUAAAGGGGAAAUAUUGCCCGGUCCUUAUCAACAUCUGUCUUGCUGUGUUCCAGAGAGAGUCCGUCCGCUGAUCCAGCACAGCUUCAAUUCUGCUUUUUUAUUUAAACGGUUUAUCCGUCCGAGGAAGCCAGCUCCGCACGUUUGUUCCUUUUUGAAGCCUCGCGGUGCACAGUCAUGCAGUGGCUCUCCUUCACGCUGGUGCACCCCCCCCCACACACACCUGAUAUACCAACAACAUUCUAGCCGGUGGGGACAGAGCAUCUCACCGCUGCUACAGUUGGAAAGUGAAAUGCCUGGAAUUUUUUUUUUUACAUUUUUAUGAAAACCCUAUAAAUAAGUUGUAGAUGGUGAGGCUUAACAUGGUACGUCUGUAUACAGUAGAUUGUCUUCCCAAAUGUAACUUGGCGAGCGACAAUUUGUUGGCCCAAGAUGCUGUGCUGUGAUAUGGAACACUGGUGACCUUUCCUGUAGCAGGCUGUUCAUGCUGUACAGACAACUAACAGAAAUACCACGUUGGAAACCAGCUGAAAACUAUUUAUCUGCAGCUAUAGAGUGGCGUGUUUAUUACAGAGAUAACCCAAAAAAGCUUAAGGGAGAGAGUACAGUUUUCCAGUGUGUGUUUGUGUGUCCUUGUGUGUCUGCAUGGAUGUGUCUGGCUGGCAAAUGGGUGCAAACUGGCCUACAACAGCAUUUAGCGCAAGUCGGAAUGACCCCUAAAAGCUUAUUGUGAGGUCAUGUGAUAUUUGGGCAGCGUGGUCCAAUGGAGACGGUCGUAUCUCCGCCACAUCUCCGCCUGGAUUUACCUCGAGAAUUGAAAACUGAGGUCGGCCAGCUGUAUGCAUUUAGAAGUAUGGCAGAGCGCCCCCCCCCCUGACUAUCCCGCUAGGCCAGCGUGCCAAAUUAUCUUCUGUAUCCACAAUGUACCCGAACCAGACGGCGAACGUCUGGCACAGUCGUCAGGUUGAUUCAUUACCUGAAGCCCGCGCUGCACGGCCGUGAUGGGAUGGAAAGGUUCUAGUGCAAAUAUACAAACACUCACUUUUUUUACUCUUGCUCUUUUUCUUCAUGACACCUGGAGACGUGUUGACGUUAACUGUUACGUUUGAUUAGUGACUGUGGAUCGUGGAACAUGAACGCUCUCACGACGGGGAAAUGUGACGUGAGGGAGUUUUUCUUUUUCAAAUCAAACACAGAUUGGUUUUGAGGUCAUUUGCCAAAACCCCAACCUGAAAUAACAAAAAGGAACAUGCAAAUUCAUUUGUGGAAGUUGUAGCAUUAAAAAGUGACAUUUAAAACGUUAAUAGGCAACGCCUCUUUCUAAAAAAUGUGUUUGGAAUUAGAUGCUGUUUUAGUCCCUGUUAUAUUUCUUAACAUUACACUGAAAAUUAAGUGACAAUUAUUCAUUUACAUUACAAGGUUUAGAGGCAGAUCAGGCACACAAAUACAUCUUAAUAAUUCACACUAUGUGCAACUGCGUCAUUGGAUGUUUGGAAUUUGGGUGACGUGAACCUUCAAACGUCCUCUUAACUUAAACACCCUGAACUAUUUCCUAAUCUAUAAUUCAUUCUAAGUGAUCAACCAAACAGAAAACAUGUUUAGGUGAUAACUGGGUGCGGUGGCCAUCAUGUCACGUCACUCUUUCCACUCAAAGUCACACAGGUGUCAAAAUCCUCUGGAAAAGUCUAUUUACAUCAGGGGUCUCAAACUCAAAUCAGCUGCGGGCCAGAUGCAGCCCACUUCAACCGAACCCGGGCCAGACUAGCGUCCGAACGGCAUGGUCGACAAUAACACAACUUAACACUCACUUUCAAAAGCAGUCAUUGAACCCCACCCUGGGGGAUCGGUCCGAAUGAGACUACAACACUAGUCCUCCUUUAACUCAGCGGGGGAGACCUAAGGUCAUGUGACCGUGGAAUUCCUUUAUGGCCAAACGUGAAGUUACGUGAAUCGAAGCUGCGUAGUAAUGGACGGAGACGCUCGUCGGUGACGUCAGAUGCUUCAUGUGUUGUUAGUGUGAGUCGUAAAGGAAAACUUUAUUAAACGAGCGAUGCUAACGGUUAGUCACAUGAUCACCUGCGCGAAAGAGGGCAGGAAACUGAAUUUCACCCUCCUGCUCUCUGCACCUCGGCCGACACACACGACCCGCCCCCCAUGUCAGUCACAUGCAUGCCACGUUCACUGGACAAGCACACAGUAGGAAACCAGAACAUCAUAACAUGUCCCACACAGCAGCUGGCAGUGAGGUUACAGUAUAAAACUUGCGGGCCGCACUAACAUUACACUUUCAUAUUAAGGAUGGGGCCACAAAAUAUUGUCCCGAGGGCCGCAAUUGGCCCGCGGGCCGCGAGUUUGAGACCCCUGAUUUACAUUGUGGAACGCAUGACAUAUUCCCGCCUCCCUCCUUCCCCCACCUGAGCGUGCAGGUGUCACGCACAAUAUUGUGAGCUUACGUUCCUCGCUGCACAGACCUCACUGGCUAACAGCGAAGCCAAAUAAUGACAACACAAAGCAAACAAAUCCAGCCUGCUGACGCCCGAGGUCGACACCCGAGGUCUUCCAUCCCCGCUGCUUGGGCGCCAUGAGUACCUGAAAGGCGGGUGCAAGAGGAACGGUAGAACCUCUCACACACCCCCGUGUGAGGGACGGGAGUGUUUUUCUGUGUGAAAGCCAAGACCGUCCACUUUGCCAUUUUCGGUGCGACACUUCUGCUGAGCAGUGGUCACCCUGGUGGUCCGCAGUGACGGCCCGUGUGACCGGAAAUGCCGUCCCCGCCGGUCCGUCUGACCACCGACCUGCUGACGCCUCUCCUCCUGGUGCCAACUCCGAACCCACAUCUCCAGUCAUCUCCAGUCAUUAACGUUGUCGUGUGUUAUGCUCAGCCAGCCCGCCGGGAGAGAGUCGAUGAAUGUGAGAAUCCUUGAGAGGAAAGCUGGCUAAUUCCUCCCGCAUCACUCUGCACCCUCCACCUCGUGCUGAAUAUUAAUCAGCCAAUGUUCCCAGUAUCAAGCUGGCGGCCGAUGCAAACAGAUGAUGGAUGGCGCACCAACUGCGCUAUCUCUCUCCCUUCUUUACUCCCUCUCCCCCGCUUCAUUCAGAUAUGAGCAAAUGAUUUAUUUUUGUCCUCCUAUAUUCUCUCUCCCUCUUUAUGUGCUGUUGUCCAUGUAAUGUCCAAUAGCUGGCUCUGCUUUUUUCAUUUGCUCCAUUUGUUAUUAUUCUCCUGUCCAACUGUAUUGCUUGUUCAGAGAGGUUGCUUAAGUAUUCAGAAAGUGUGAAUAUCAAUUAAACAUGACACUAGUUCUUCUGAAGGAGCUUUUCUUUUAAUUUUGUCACAUUGAGCACUUUAAGCUUCAAAAUCCACUGUUGUUCUCUUCCUUAAUAAUAAUAAAUAUCAAGGAUAUAAAGAUGUACAGAGGAUCUAAAGACCCAAUGCAGCGCUUUAGGCCUAUAAGUACGAAAUAUGAGAAAAGUAAGCCAAAAGGUAUUAUGAUAAAUGUGGGGAACCAGUGUUAAAGAAACCGUAUUAGCGCUGAAACUGCAAAUAACUCUAAAGCUGGCUUACUUUUCUACUGUUUGCAUUCAAUUAAAAGGCUAUAUUUGAAGAGGGCUUAUCUCUAAAAGAAGUUACACAAAACUAUGCCCAAGGUAGAAAUAUAAAAAGGAAUUUUAUUUGAAAGACGAGCUGCAUGAAAGAGGUUUUGGUGCUUUUACUUCCAUCAGCCCACCUGCUCGCUGUCACGCGUUCCUUUAACGUGGAGAUUCUCCAGCAACGGGAUCGUUUCUUAAGCUUCGACAAGUGACUGCGUUUAAAGAGGAUUAAGAAAAAACACGUAAUAGAACGGGUGAGAAAAAUGAAACCCAUCAGUCGCUUGUGGCCGUGACCUUUUUUUGCUGCACGCUUUAUUGUCCCUCCUUCCCGAAUCGGCCUCAUUGACGAACGACGGCCGACUCGCGUCGUGUGGAAUUUUUCGCGCGCGCGCGUCCCCGCGGACACUGACGCGCAUUCCACCGUCUGCGUGCGUUAUUAGUGGGUUAGUAGUUUGGCAUCAGGAGCUGCAAUGACAUCACGAGGCAGGCGGCGGUAAGCGGCCUUGAUGGGCGGACAGCUGAGACCGCCGUGGGUGUCGGUGGUCCACGCGGUGUCCUGAAGGGAAUGACUCAGAUUUCACUCUCUGCUGGGGGGCGAACGGACGUGUGUUUGACUGCAGGGACUGAUCAGGGCACUGGGUGGGGGGCUUGUUGUUUGCCCCCUCUCAUGGAUCACAUGGAGUCAAAUCGUUGGUUUUUCAAAGUGAAACACACAUUCGGGGUGUGUGCUGUGGAUUAUUAGAAAUAAACUCACCGCCCGGUUCAUAAAUUAGACCAAUUAAUCAAAUGCAUUUAGUGUACAACCAGAAUACAGCCAUGAUUCUGAAACUAAUCAAUAAAUGAGAAUAGUUUUAUUUAGCUAUUUUAUUUUGUAUAGCCCAAAAUCGCAAAUUACAAAUUUGCCUCAGAGGGCUUUACAGUCUGAACACAUACGGCAUCCUCUGUCCCAAAACCCUCACAUCGGCACAGGAAAAACUCCCCAAAAAAUGAAAAAACCCUUCCAAGAGGGGAAAAAAGGGAAGAAACCUUAGGGAGAACGUCAGAGGAGGGAUCCCACUCCCGGGAUGGACAAACUACAAUGGAUGCCAUGUGUACAGAAUGAACUAUGUAUAAUACAUUCAAUUCCUGUGACAGAAAUUAUUCAAGUAAUUGUGAGUAGUAAGCCAGGCGCACAGCAGGACCACUGCAGGGGCAACCACCAUCAGAUAGAACCACCAUCAACAGUGUGACACCGCUGUAAUCAAUAGUAUAAUACCAAUGCGCAGCUAUUAUAUGGAAUGUAAUCAACCGAAAUGCAUGCAUGUAAUAUUUGAUAGCACAACUGAUAUUGACCGAGAGACAUUCAAAAUCUGAGUUACAUGGAGAAGCCCCCUGCCCAGGGGCGUGGACACUAACUUUCACACCUUUACUGAUCUGUAUGAAUCCCUGUAGUUCUAGAGUUCACUGGUGGAGGCCCGAGACACUAUGGGAGGUGAAUGAGCCGCCAUGUGGCCCUUUUCUUUUAUGAAAUACUUUUGAUUUUAACUUUCAAUCCAAGAUCUCUUCUGUCCGGCUGGAGUUUCAUUUUUUUUUAGUACACAACAGUGCAUUGUUUUGGGUGAAAGUUUUGCACAUGUUUCAGCACGCUACGGUAGCACAUCUGAAGGGAUCCUUUGAGCCUUUUAAGUAUAAUCUGGUUGUCAUUUUCACAAGCUCAUCCAGCAGCUUAGUGUGCUGGAGGAAAGCCAGCAGAGGUGUUACCUACUACACCACGGUGAGGGGAUGAGAGACUGAGUGUGAUCACAUCUUUACACAUUGCACAAUAAGCAUGCUGUACAUAUGUCUGUCUUUAAAUAAAUAGUUAUGUCAAGAAUUACCACUUUGCAGCUUUAUGAACGAAAUUGUUCAUGAAAUUAGCAUUAUUACUAGAAUCUGCCAAGGACUUGCAUUUGAAUGAUGAUAAACACAAAGAAGUUCAACACAGCGCCCAACUUCAUCAACUCAUUGUGUCCGGGUUCAAAAUAUAACAUGAGAAGCAGAAAAGUAUUGUUUGAGUUAACAUCCAUUAUUCUUAAAUGAAUAAUCUUAGACUUUUAUGAUACAUUCCAAUCAUAAUUUACCAGCACACAUGAAUUGCUUCAACAUUCCAGAGCCCAAUAAUCAUACAUUUACAAUGAUGUAAAACAGAGAAAUAGGACAUACUCUCUUGUAAUACUAUAUGUAAAAUGUGACUAUUAGGUCAAGAGAAAGCGGAUAUGACAAUAAAAAGGGAACACUAUGGUCCUGUGGUGGUUUAUUAGAGGUUGGUGCCACUGUUCUUCAGGUUAAACAGUGCUGUAUUAACCAGCUGCUGUUUCUUGGUUUAUAAUGGUUUGAUUCACCUUUUUGUUUGAAGGCGUGUGGAGGAAAAUACCAAGUAGAUCCCACAUGACAAGACAACAAAUGAGGAUGAAAUAUUUCACGGAAACUAUAAUUUCUAAUAUGGGGGAAGAUGCAUGGAACUGAACAAAGGCAUCGCUUAUGUUGAAACAAAUUAUUACUGGAACCGACGGUGCACUUCCAGGCAGUGUGCCUCUAUUUCAUAGAAAAACUAAAUAAACCUGGGAAACAUGCUGUCUAUUGAAUUGGCCAGGUGUAAAAGCAGGACAAAACAGCCCCAGAGUUCAUUUUUCCAACAUCCUGAAUUUUUUAAAAUGUACGGUGGGAAAGGCAUUUCCUGAAAAUUUGCCUUAAUUCUGCCUUGAAUGACACUUUGUAAAUCUCUCUGCCUGGAAAUUGGAGGUAUAAUCUUCCAUCCAGUGCCUGCGAGAAAAGGCAAAGGUAUCUAGAUAGACUUUCCCUUUAUUCUCAGGCUGACUGAGGUUUAGGGAGUUCAGCAGCCGUGUGCUUGUGUUAGUGUGUUAUCCUUACAUUUACAUGGCCGUGUAAUUGUUGAACUUAGCAGUGUGUUCAUUCAUUAGCGAGCGCUUACCUCCCUGCUCCCUCUCCUCAUCUCUCUACAUUAGCUCUGACAGUAAUGACUCGCCAGGCCUAACCUCUUAACUGGCCUGAUGCAUGCUUGUGGCAAACCCACUCUAGCCUCCCAGCUAAAAUGGAAACAUGCUGUUUUCAGUGUUUUUACUUUUUUUUCCCCUUUUACCCCACCUCCUCCACCCCCCGCUCUCCAUUUCCUCCCGUUCUGUUUUUUCUUUUUAAUUUUACCAAAAAAAAGUGACUAUUUCACUGAGUCAACUUUCAGGAUUAAUUAAUUCACAUUUCCAGCAACAUCUGGCAAGCGUGUUAUUAUUAACUUAACCUUAACCCUGCUUUCAACAACUACAGAAACCUUUGCACCUCUUGGAUUUAAAUUUGCUCAGAGAAAAUAUAAUAAUAUAGAGGUUAGAUUUAUAUUACGCUGAUGUGUUCUAUGGUUCAUGCAAAGAGGUUGAAAUGAAUUAGUCACGUAUUAAUCUGAACCCUGUUACUGUUUAAUAUGUCUAGCAAUUACAGAGGAAUGUCAUCAAAUGAAGUCCAGUCGGCUAAAGUCUAAUGCUGCCACGUGGAUGAAAGAGGUUACGGAAAAAUAACCAGACAUAUCUUCCAUAUUUACACACUGUUCACACCCUUUCCAGCUAGAUAAUGUAGCACAACAAUAUGUGAGCAUGAAGGUCUCAGUUUAUCCAGAUGCUCUCCACGGUCCCCAGCUCACAGCCUAAAUGAACAGCGAUGGCGGAAGAGGAAAUAGGCCGCUAUUUUAAAUGACUAAAUCGGCAUGGACAAGGACAUCAAACCUCAACAAAUGUAUCUAUUCCUGGGGAUGAUAAAAGUGCAAUCUGGCAGUUACUAAUAAAACCAUCAAUGUGCACACAGCAUGGUUGCAAUUUUCAACCACUUUUACAACGUUCAUGAAUAUAAACACAUUUUUACAGAAGUAAGUAAAUAAUUAUUUGUCGCAAGCAAGUUUGGAGUGCAGUGAUUUGUAAGUAAUCACACAUACAACAUAGUGUGGAUUUGCAGGAACGUAUUCAUGGGGGACUUUCAGCUCUUAGGGCCCCCUCACUCUCUCCAGAGGGUAGAAAAGAUACACGAGUUCAGCUAUGUGAUUCCUGACUGGACUGCAGAGAUAAGAGGGCCCAAAUAAAUCUCCACCCUUCCAAAUGGGUUCCAGUGACAGUGGAAAUAAAGAGGUUUUGGUUGGCCGGUCAGAUGACUGACGUCUUGGUGUCGUCCCCACCUCAGUGACCAGCAGAUAAACCGGGAUUAGAGGGAGACACUAUUAGACUGCUGGAAGCACGCAUGCGCACUCACCCGCACAAACCCACACAUGCUUACACAAAGACACACAAACCAAUGCCGACGCAUUCGUG